rnacentral:lncRNA from 1 species
ACACUUACCUUUUUCCCAUUUCGUCAAUCGCGGCAUUCAAUCAAAAUCAACCUUUGUUUAGUUACAUGGAAAUCGGGUCUUUCACAUUUCUUUCUCCCGAAGAUUUUUCUUUUAACAACAACUACAACAGCGAUUUCUCUUGGUUUCUGGAUAUGGAAACUGGGUUCAACAGGAACACCAAGAAGAGGGGUAGAAAAGACUUUGAGGAAUCUCUUGUUAGCGAAAAGAGUGGGUUUGGUGAUAUACUUUCCUCGAUUUUGAUGUUGGAUGAGGAAGCAAAGCAAGAGCAGUAUCAAUGGGUGACUAACUCUGAUCAAGAUGGUGCUUUCUUCCAAGCCAAUUACAAGGGAAAUGUUCAGGAAAUGAAUGGGUAUUUUGAAAACCAGUUUUCUGAAAUGAACCAGUUGGAUAAUUCCAGUAACAAACGCGCCCGCAAAUCUGGUUCACCCGCUGCGGCUGCGACGGUUUCAGCCGGGUCCGAUAAUGUGGGUCCAUCGCAAUCGGGUAGCGGAUCCGGUCAGCAAAGGCGGUUAUGGGUAAAAGACCGAUCCAAGGACUGGUGGACUAAGUGUAACCACCCAGAUUUCCCCGAUGAGGAGUUUAAACGCGCUUUCCGUAUGAGCAAAGCCACAUUCAAUAUGGUCUGCGAGGAGCUCGAACCUGCAGUUACGAAAAAGAACACGAUGCUUCGAGAUGCGAUCCCAGUUCGUCAGCGCGUGGCGGUUUGUAUUUGGAGGUUGGCCACGGGUGAACCGCUUCGGAUGGUGUCGAAGCGCUUCGGGUUGGGGAUUUCAACUUGUCAUAAGCUGGUUCUAGAGGUUUGUGCCGCAAUUAAAACUGUUUUAAUGCCCAAAUUCGUUCAAUAGCCUGACGAACACAAAAUGAAGAGUAUCAAACAAGCAUUCGAGUCCGCCAGUGGGAUCCCCAACGUGGGCGGUUCAAUGUACACUACUCACGUUCCCAUCAUUGCACCAAAAGUCAGCGUCGCAGCGUAUUUCAACAAAAAACACACGGAGAGGAACCAGAAAAAUUCGUAUUCCAUUACCCUUCAAGGCGUUGUCGACCAAGCCGGAGCUUUCACCGACUUAUGUAUUGGGUGGCCCGGUUCGAUGUCCGAUGAUCAAAUUUUAGAGAAAUCAGCGUUUCACCAAAGAGCCACAAGGGGACAUUUGAAGGACGUUUGCGUCGUAGGCAACAAAGGGUACCCACUAAUGGACUGGGUUUUGGUUCCUUACAGUCACCAAAACCUCACUUGGGCUCAACAUGCUUUCAAUGAGAAAAUCGGGGAGAUUGAAAAGGUGGCCAAGGAGGCAUUCGCGAGGCUGAAAGGGCGGUGGUCGUGUUUACAAAAGAGAACCGAGGUUAAGCUUCAAGAGUUGCCGAUCGUGCUUGGAGCUUGCUGCGUUUUGCAUAAUAUCUGUGAGAUGAGAAACGAGGUGAUGGAUCCGGAGCUUAAAUUCGAGCUUUUCGACGAUGAGGUCAUCCCCGAUAAUAAUAUAAGGUCCAUGGCUUCCGGACAAGCUAGAGAUCACAUCGCUCACAAUUUGUUGCACCAUGGGCUUGGCGGCCGUGGUACAUCUUCCACUGCUUUUCUAUAGUGUUGAUUUAGGAAUCUUUUCUGUAGUUUGCUUGUUAUUCUUUUGGGGUAUGGCAAUAAAGAUUAUUCCUGAUUUAAUUUCCAUUUAUGGAUUUGCCAACAUUUUUCUAUUUACUUUUUUAAAAAAUUGAAAUUUGUGACCAGAGUGUAUGCUAUGCUACACUUACAAGAAACUCCUGAACCUUAAUUUUAUUCCCCGUGGAUCAAGUAAAGUGUAAAUAUUUUUGGGCAUUCAAGUCUGCUUAAUAACAAUCCAUUCCUUGACAGUGGUAAUUAAAUAGGUGUCAGCAUGCGGAACCGCAUAUUUUAGGUAACUUUUAAUAUAAUUUUUUAAAAUAAUUUUGGUGAUUUUUAAUAUAAUGUAAAAAUUGUUGGUAAUAAUUUUGAUAGCAUUUAUUUAGUUUUGGUAAUAUUUUCAAAAAAAAAAAAAAACCUUAGUGAAAAAAUUAGAUCUAAUUUUAUUAACACUUAAUGUAAGUUUUCAUUCAAUGUUCAAUUUGUCAUACGAGUUUUUUUGUCUUUGUUAAAUACUUGAAUUUGGUUAUAAUAUUUAAUUUGAUAUUUGAAUUUUUUUUAUCUUUAUUAAGUACCUGUAUUUUUUAUUAGAGUACAUAUGUUAAAUAUUCAUGAAGUAUUAAAUUGAAUAUUAAAGUCAAAUAUAAAUACCAAAUUAAGACAAAAGAAACUUAAAUACCAAAUUGAAAGUGUGAAUUGGCAUAUUAUCGCUUAGCUUGUGUGGGCCUUGUGAGGUGGCCGAGCUGAGCAGGUUAGAUUACAAAAUAGACCUCGGACGCCUACAUACAAUAAAUAGAAAAAGUUAAGCCAAGAUGAAUUAAACUGAGUUGCUGAAGUUUCAUGAUUGGAUAUGAAAAAUUAUGGCAUUUACUAUGAGAAUGAUUAUUUAUAUUACCAUUACAAUUACGUGAUGGCUGAUUAAUUCACAUCCAACUAACUUUUUUAUUAAUAGCCUUUAAUUUAUCUUAAUUAUUUUUUUCUUUUUAUAUCAAAUUGCAAAAAUUUCUCACCUUUAAAUAUUUUAAUUUCAUCUAAAUUUAGCAAUUUUGUCAACAAAAAACAAAGAAAAGAUUUUUAAAUAUUUUCUUUAAUCAAAAUGAAUCUAGUGUUUUAUUUUGAAACUUGUUUAUAUUAGUAUAAAAAUGAUUUGAAUAGAGUUAUAAUUAACUAAAGACAAUAAUUUACUUAAUAUAAUAAAAAAAAUAUUUAAGACACUAGUCAAUAAAAUAAUCCAAUUAAAUUUCACAAAGAGAAGGACAAGGCCACGAGGCACAAGCUGUCUUAGGUUAGGAGCCGGCUCAACAUAUAUAUAUUUUUUCGUUAUUACCCAAAAGCUCCCGUUCAGAAACUCGACAUCUUUGCAUCCCAAGGACAACGAACCAUGGGCAUAAUAGUCAUUUAAUUGAACCAGAUUUCAUUGCCGAUCAAAAUACAGGCUCGCUUUCCACCUCCAUGGCCAUGUACGAACUUUCCACUUUCAGUUUUGAGCUUGGAAUCAAUCACGUAAACCAAAAUCGUGUCCCUAAGUUAAACAAUCUAAUUAGCUUGCUAAAAAAUUACACCCUCCUUCGUCACCUCUUCUCGCGAUUCAUCGAAGGUAGAUUUCUACUCACAUUCUUGAUUGCAAGCUCUAGGGUUUUCUUUUUUCUACUUUCUUGAUCAAUUUAUUUUUUUGUUUCUUUGAUUGAGUUUUUAUUUCAGUUUUAUUCUCUAAUUUUCGUUUUGAUUUAAUUGUUAGGGGUUUCUGCAUAUUUGUAUUAGUAUUUAAUUUUUUAUUUUGUUCAAUUGCUGAGGUUCGACGAAUUAAGUAGGAUUGAGAUGUGAACUUGAGGAAUUAGAGGAUAAAUUGGUAAUUUUUGAGCUUAAACUGGCUUUACUGUGUUAAACGGAGCAUUUCAUUUGAUGAAACUAGAUUAUGUUGAUUAGUCAAAAAAAUGAAGAAACAUUGAGGAAUUUAACUGAGAUAAUAUUUUGUCUCGCAUUUUUCUGGUUUGAUUCAAUCUUGGCUUGGAUUUAAUUUAAGUAAGGAAAGUGAAGUUGAAGGCAAUUAUUCGUAUCCUUGUGCCAUGGUAAAAAAUACUAGGAACACAAGAGCAACGAUUAGGGAAUAAUUCAAAUGGGAAUGCUUUCUUACCGACUACUAUGAUCUAUAAGUAUCCUCCAUUUGAGAUCACAUUGAGUUCAGCCAGUUAAGUAGUGUUGGUUAUCUUAAGUUAUAAUCUCGGUGAGAUUGAUAUUUAAUUUAUUGAUAUAUAUUAUAUAUCUUUUUAGUCUGUUGCUCAGCUGGAGGUAUAGUAAAAUAAAUGGCAGUGUUCAGCUGCUCGAGUUUGGUUAUUUUGCUGAAAUUUAUUUGUUGGGCUAACUUUUUUUGAACUAUGAUUCUAUCUUAAGUCAUAAUGUGUUAAUGAUAUGGUUGUAGAAAGUUUUUCCACACAUAAACCCUGAUUUCUAACUUUAUAUCAAUCUCUGAUUCAUGAUUCUGAUUCUGAUUCUGAUUCUGAUUCUGAUAUGUUUGUUUUAUUAAAUUUGUGCUGCAGAGAUGGGCAAACAGCCUUAGUAGCAAUUUUUGUUUUGAUGCAUGAGAGGUGAUUUACAUAAAGGAGUUAUACAGUUUAGAAACUUAUUUAAAUAAAAGGUAAAUUGAAUUGGUGGUUCAAUCAUGAUUUUACUUUCAUAUGGGUUUUACUGGCAUGUGCCUUAAGUAAACUAUUAUAGUAGAUUAUUUAUUUUAAAUGUAGUAGUCGACUAUUAAUGAAAUGAAUUCUGAUGCAUUGGAGAAAAUAUUACGUAAUAUGAUAACAUUUUUUUUGAAAGUUAAUAUGAUAACAUUGAAGUCUGUCCUUUGGGGACCUUUUUACAAAACCCUAUUUAUAUUCAAGGCAUUUUAUGUUAUAUUAGUUUGUCUUUAAUUAUUUACUGAGUGUGAGGCUUGUAGAAUACCCUAAAUAUGAGUCUCGUCCACUAUUCAUGCUUGGGCUUUGGGCUUUUGCUCAAACUAUUACGAGUCUCGUUCAAUUGACAUUAUCUUUUUGUGACAGCCAUUUGUACUAGAUUUGUUGUCGCCUUUGUUUUCUAAAGGUUUCCUUUUUGUUGUUGCUGUCUACUUGUAUUCACUCUUUCAUUUAUUGCAUUUAUUUGAGGUGCCUUUGCUAUGUUACUUUUUCAACUAUAUAUAUAAAUCCCUAUAUUUACUAUGCAUCCAUAAAUUAUCUGGUCAUUAUUGAUUUAGUCAUGCAAAUUGAUCACUUUUCAACAUGAAUUGAAAAAGUAAAUUCAAGCUACUGGAGUACCCUCCUCUAACCUUUGGGAACCCCUUUCUUGUAACGUGACAGUAAAAAGAUUAAUCGUACUCGCUGUGGACGGUGAUCAAUGUCAUCUUAGUUCCAUGGCCUCUGAAUUUCUUUAUAACUAGUAUUGAUUAUUUAUGACUUAACUUUAAUCUGUUACUUCUAGUUGUAUUUUCUGUGUGUGCAACUGUGCAUUAAGCAUAGAACAGUGUGUAUUUUGAGGUAGCUUUGAAUUGAUUUGUUCUAGUAGAUAACUUACAUGCUUAUCCUUAGUUUUUUUCUCCUUUGCAGAUUAGUAGUCUGUUAAGAGUUUAAAUCAGCCUUUAUGUCCUAUUGUUCUACAAUAUUGUAAUGCACUGCUGUAUUUAUUGGCCUUGUAAAAUUGUGGAUUUGCAAAAUCUGAUGCAAUGGCGAUGUCCAGCAAGUUUGAUCUGUCUUCUGGUAGCCCAGACAGGCCACUGUAUACCAGCGGGCAGCGUGGAGCCCUGUUAGCUGCUCAAUUAGACAGAUCAGGUAGCUUUCGUGAGACCAUGGAGAAUCAGAUUCUAUCUUCUCUGCCAAGUAUGUCAAGAAGCAGUUCAGUAGCAGCCCAAGGAGAUGUAUCCAGCUUCUUCCAGUGCUUGCGUUUUGAUCCCAAGGUGGUUGCUGCUGAUCAUAAGUCUAAUCGUCAAGGAGACUUUAAACGGCACAUUAAUGUUGCUCUUGGAAUUUCUGCUGAUGAAUCUACUACCAUGUUGUCAAAAGGCAAGCUGCUGCCUUCUCCUAUUCCAGAAGAAAUCAAACGAGUUAAGACUGGUCUACGUGAUUGCUCAGUCAAAGCAAGGUAUUCUUCAUAAAUUUUGCAUUUUAGAUCGAAGUUGUCAUUAGUUAUUAAAGUGAAUCAGUUAACAGGGAGCGCGUGAAAACUUUCAAUGAAGCCUUAUCAGUAUUCAACAAGUUUUUCCCUAGCAUACCAUCUAAGAAGCGAUCUCGAUCAGAAAGCUUUUCUAAUGACCGGCCUAAUGCCUUGUUAUCUGGUGAUCGGUCAGUCUUGGGCCCUACCAUUGGUAAGAUGGGAAUGCAUAAUAACUCUGUUGCUGGAGGUUUUGAAUUUGAACAGCAGAAGUCUGAGGAAAGGCCUAAAAGUACUAUUCCAAAUAAACGUACUCGGACUUCGUUGGUGGAUGUCAGGGUUUGUAUCUUUGAUAUUUUCCAUCUCUAUUCAUUUCUGUCUUGUUAAUAUUAUGAUUCCAUAUCUGCUAUUAGGCCUGAUAUAAGUUUUUCUGUAAACUUACUCAAUGUCUAUUUUAUUUCAUUGCCAUAUUCAAGUUUGAUCGGGUUCAAAAAGUGCCAAGUCCAAAUUUAAUUAUUGUUGUCACUACUGCUUCUCUUAUUUCUUCUCUCUGGUGUUUCCUUCAUUUUUCUAUGCUAGUAGUUGAUUCUUUUCCAUUUGUCACUGAACCCAAACCACACUUCUUUCUUUUGAUCCAACUUGUGGUGGUGGGUGGUUUGUUCUCUUUACUCUUCCUGUUCAAUUGAUUUCCUUUGCAUUUCAAUCAUUGAGUUAGUACGUAAGUGAGCUCUAGGAAACCUGUUUUCUGUUACAAGAAUCUUCAUAACUUUCUCUUUUACACAAGCAGUAAAAUCUAUAUGGUUUUACAUCUCAUAUUCUUACACUUCUGCAUAGUUGUGAUAUCUUUGGUCUCAUCUUGGUGGCUUGGUGCCCAAUUUGCAUGUGGCUCUCCUUUUUUUGCAUUAGUAUCUCCUGAAGAGAAGAAUUGACAUUUGUUCUAAUGAAUCUAGAUGGAUAUGCGGAAUAAUGCUCUAGUCAGGCAGCCUGGUAAUGCAGAUAGAGAUAAGGAAAUGCUCAGGGUUUCAAAUAGUGGCUCAGUUCAGGGUGAAGAUCGAACUUUAUCAGGCAGUGUUGAUGGAUGGGAAAAGACAAAGAUGAAGAAAAAACGUUCUGGGAUAAAACCUGAUGUAUCUCCAAGUAUGGCAUCAACUAAACUUGAAGGGUAUCGAGAAUCUAAACAGGGAAUACAGCAAAGGGCUGUUUCUGAUGCUCGAUCAAGGUUAAGUAAUGACUCCCAUGGGUUCAGGUAGGUCUGCUGAAAGUACUAUUAUUGUGCAUAUGCCAAAUGGUUAUUAUUUGAAUCUUUUUUUCUUCGCCUCUUCAUUUUUGUUGAAUUACUUGUGUCUGAGUCCAUAUAGGGAUAGGACCUCCAAGGAUCCUACAAAUUUAUGGAAAAACUUAGAAAUGUUUGACUAUACCCAUGUUAGACAAGUACUUGUGUCUGACACACUCAACUUUGAGUAACAUAGAUCUGAAUGCUUGCCUUAAUAAAAUCUGUUAAGUGCUCGCACAUGGGGUGCUUGGAGGACAACCACCCUUGAGUAUUUUAAAUUUCAUGUUUGUUAUCAUUCGAAGAUUUUACUUUAACAAUCAUAGAAGAACUAGAUUGCAGUUGCUGACUGGACUUGUCAAGAAUCAGUCAGUCAAACCAGACUGUUAGGAACUUUAUGUUUUGGUCACUCAACUUGAAAAUAUUACAAAAUGGUCACUGAACUAUUCCGAAGUUUUCAUUUAAGUCACCAGGCUGUUAUAAUUGCUGCUGCAUUAGUAACUUUAUGUUUUGGUCACUCAACUUGAAAAUGUUACUCACUGAACUAUUCAGAAGUUUUCAUUUAAGUCACAGGGCUGUUAUAAUCGCUGCUGCACGGCCUUCUUUGUUUGCACUGCCUGAACCAAUCGACUUGAAUAUAAGUCGUGUUCAUGGGUAUUGAUCCAUCAUACCGAUAGUCAAAUCGUCGCUUAGAGCUCGCUAGUUGGACUUUCUUUUUUUAAAAAAUAAACAACCGAGUGACUUAAACAAAAACUUUCGAAUAGUUUAGUGACUUAGAAAAGUUUCAAAUAGUUCAGUAACUAUUUUGUAACUUUUUGAAGUUAAGUGACCAAAACGUAAACUUACUAAUAGUUUUAAGUGGUGAGAUAUGAACCUUUGAUCACUUACCUUUGCAUUAUUGGCUAAAGCAUUGAGUCAAAUCCAUUAUUUUGUUAAAUAUUUACUAUAUUCAGUGCUUAUUCAAAAUCAUGCUUCUGAUUGUAGCAACCUUCUUUGAUGGGAUCGCCUAGUUGAAAUGGUUGAAUCUAGGGCCACAUCAGUUCAACAUCCUGUGUGGUUUUAAAAAAUUGACUUGAUUAUAAUCAAUACUUCCAGUCCACUGCCAUGAGAUUUGUGGGAAUAAGGGGCUUGAAUCAUAAUAAUGAUUGUGGUAGCAGGUUUUGUCAGUAUUCUGUUAUAACAUAAUUUAUCAGCUGGAAAUGCAAUCUUUCUUCAUCUUUGUUUUUAUUUGCUAUGCUGUGGAGGAUAUACUGAAUUAUAGAUGUCAAGCUUAUAUUUUAAACUUCUGAGGUUCCUUUUGAUCCCCCUUCCAGUUGUAUAUUUAUUUUUGAGUUUCUAUUUUAUUUUUAGCAUGGUGUUAAUGAUAGUGCUAGGGUGAGUGACUAUAUUUUUGGUAAUCCUAUGUUCUUUCUUUCAUGUUCAUUUAUCUUUUGUAGCCACACUUUAUCAUCCUAUGCUCUAUUGUCCUUAUUUGGCAUGCUGUUUUGGUUCAGAUCUAAAUCAUCUGAAUGCAUGAUAUGGGGGGUUAGAUUAAGCUGAGUUGCUUAUGCCUUUAGUGCACAGGACAUCUAAACUAACGCCUUAAAUGUGCAUUUACCAUUGCAAAUAUUUGAUGUUAGAGCCACUAAGUUUUCUGAACUGUGUUUUAGAUCUGAGCAGUAAACCAUAUGAUUUAAACCAUCUUGAAAGAUAAUGCUUGAGAGGUAACUUCAAUCUUGAUUUGACUUAUCUUCUGAUUAAGAUCCAAGUGCAUGAUUUUCUGAUGCAUAAAGAAAGAAAUCUUAUUAGGGCCUUUGCUACAGUAUAGCGAGAUGUAAUUUCCUUAAUAGAUGAUCAUAAUGGUGGCUGUAUGGAAAUUUAUUAGGGGUUUUUUUGUUAGAAAAUUUCUUCAAACCUUCUACUCGGAGCAUUUUGUGAAUUGAACCUUCGUUUUCGUUUAUUUUUAACAUUUUGAUGUAUCUUAUUCUUGAUUCUCUAUUAAUAACUAUAAAUUGUUAUAGGUCAGGAAUUGCUAAUGGAUCUGUUGGGGUUGGAAAACCUGAAGGCAUCUCGCAGCAGUCAGGCUUGGGUCCAAGGUCAUCUGUUCCUAGGACUGACCCGGACACUAGUUCUCUUCUCAAUGAUAGGAGGGACCGUACCGUUGCUUCUGAUAAAGAGAGAGUGAAUCUCAGAGCCACUAACAAGUAUGCUUAUUUUCUUGAUGAAUAUUUUGUUUUCCAUUUUUUAGUGUAAAUUUCUCUGUAAAAUUUGGAUUUUAUAGAGCCUUUGUUUUUGUCAUUUGGGGCAUCUUUAUUUGAGGCACUUGGAGUACUUUUCCUGUUUGGGCCAUACUGCUGUAUGUAUACUUAUUUGUAUAUCCUUUGUUCUGUACAAUGAGCAGGAUGAGUGUUCGUGAUGAAUUUAAUUCAGCCAGUCCUACUUCAAGCACCAAAAUGAAUGCAUCUAUUCGUGGUCCACGAUCAGGCACUGGAGUUGCACCAAAGUUGUCACCAGUCGUUCAUAGAGCAACAGCAUCAAAUGACUGGGAGCUUUCUCACUGUACAAAUAAACCACCUACUGCUGGUGGAGCUACUAAUCGCAAGCGCACAGCAUCAGCUCGGUCUUCAUCACCACCUGUUGCCCAUUGGGCCAGCCAGAGACCACAGAAGAGCUCCCGUACUGCAAGACGAACAAAUAUUGUUCCUUUUGUUUCAAAUAAUGAUGAAACUCCAUCAUUGGAUACUGUGUCUGAUAUGGCCGGUAAUGAGAUUGGAUCAGGAUUUGCUAGACGCUUCUCGAGCAGUUCUCCGCAACAAAUUAAACUAAAAGGUGAUGCCUUAUCUUCUGCUACUCUUUCUGAGAGUGAGGAGUCUGGGGCUGCUGAAAUUAAAUCUAAAGAAAAGGUGAAAAAGUCUGAUGAAAUAGAUGAGAAAUCUGGACAGAAUGUUCAGAAAGUAUCCACAUUGGUCUUGUCAUCAAGAAAGAAUAAGCUGAUGACUGGAGAAGAUAUUGGAGAUGGUGUACGUCGACAAGGGAGGACUGGACGGGAUAUUACUUCUACAAGGUCUCUUAUGCCAAUGACAGUUGAGAAGUUUGGCAAUGUGAGAACAGCAAAGCAGCUCAGAAGUGCCAGGCUCGGCUUGGAUAAGACCGAAAGGUUAAUAUUUUCCUUCCUACGUGACCACAUGAUACCUUCUCUCCAAUAAUAUUUCUUUUAUUGUGGUCUAGAACUGUUAUUCUUUGUGAUUGAAAUCUCAUAGUUUCAUGAACAUUCUCUCAGCAAGGCCGGUCGUCCUCCAACUAGGAAGCUCACUGAUCGCAAGGCCUAUUCGCGCCAGAAGCAUGCGGCAAUGAAUGCAGCUGCAGAUGUUCUUGGUAGUUGCACUUAAAACUAAGAAAUUUACUUGGAUUUUAAAAUAUCCACUCUUUAACAAAAUUUUCUGAAGUUCUAAAUCUGUGAUUACAUAUACAUGGCUUCUAAUUGCCUUUGGUACAUUUUUUUAGUUGGUUCGGAGGACGUGCAUGAAGAGAUAGUAGCUGCUGUAAAUGCUCUUGUUGGUUCUGGUAGUGUCUUCUGAAAUUUUUGGUCAUUUUUUUGUUGAAGUUUUGGGCUUUUAUUUUUUUUUUUUAUUUGGUUUGAAAUUUCUACUCGCAUUGGUUGAUUUUACUUGCAUUGCAGCCCAUGCAUUUCCCAACUCCUUUUGGAGGCAGAUGGAGCCUUUUCUUGGUUUCAUAUCUGAUGCAGAUAUUGCCUAUUUGAAGCAGCAGGUACCAGAACCCUUUAAUAUAUUCCCUUUUUAAGGAAUAAAAAAAUCAUUGGAAAAUAUUAUUGGAUUAAAUAUUUAUUGAAAUGCUUAAUAUGAAUUAGUGGUUGCAAUUUAUGUUUCUUUUUUACCACGGUGGGUGAAAUUUUUUCAAUAAGGUAGGGGAGAGGGGAAUUGAACCUAAACCUUUACCCUCCAUUUCCUCUAGGAGAGGCAUGGGUUCUUGCCUUUAUUUAUGUUGUUAUCAAUUUUUGAGCAAAGGCAUGAGAUAAAUAAGUUCCUCUUGACUUGCUGAUUUAUGUUAGGCAUUGAUGGCUAACCAUGUGAUUAAUUUUCAAGAAUUCAUCUCUUAUUUUAUUUUGUUAUGCAAUCCUAAAGUUACCUUUUCAAAAUUAUUUAUUUAACAUUAGAUAAUGAGUGUUCUCUUCAACCUCAUCCUUGUAACACUAUCUUUUCUGAAUGCACCUUUUUUCGUGAAUAGUUAGAAGCGCCUUGUUUCUUAUUGAACUUCCAUCAAUUGUUUUUGGUACUCAAAUACAUCUUUUCACAAAUAUUUUGGUCUCUCUAAACUGUUUUGUAUCUUUCAGGGAAAUCAUGAAACAAGACCGGGAUCAACACCCCUUCCUUCUAUUGCAGAUGGUUGUAGUACCAUCUCCAAUGGAUGUGGAUUGCUUGAAAAGGAAAGAGCUGGCAGAAUUGCUGCUGUAACAUCUAAUGAUGAACUCCUUUCACAGCAGUUGUUUUUGGAUAAAAGGGACAAUAAUCUGAUACCGCUCUGUCAGAGAUUUUUAGCAGCUCUAAUUCCAGAAGAAGAUAGUAACAGUGGAAAUGAAGACCUCCAAUUUGACAUAUAUGGAGCUGGAUUUCAGAUGGAUGGAGAAUUGGGAUCUAAUGGUUUGAGUCAUAUCGUUAAUUUCCAAUCUACUGAGCAUGCUUCUUUUAAUGGUUAUAGGACAUCUGGGAAGCCAGAAUGCGAUGAUCCUGAAAUUAAUAUGGUGGGAAAGACAGGAAUUGGCUCAACUUUUAGUCAUUCCCUGAAUGUCACAUUUCUAGACAAACCAAUGCCUGAUAUGGUUUGUUCAGAAUUUGAGUACGAGGGUAUGAAGAUAAAUGAGAAAAUCCUUUUGGAGGCUCAAAGUAUCGGAAUCUUCUUAGAACCAAUGGUUGGUCUACUUCUACAUGAAUAUUUAUAUUAAAUGCUGCAUUAUCCCUAUCUUUUGAUAUUAUUUCAUCCAAGAUUUGGCAAUUAUCUCUCUCUUGCGCUCUUUGUUGUUUCAAAAUCAAUAUCAUGAUGUAGCAAUCUGAUCUCCAUUUCCAUCAUUAUCUGAAUGGUUGGUUGUCAAAUAGUGCAUGUAUGCCCACGACAUCUUCUCAUUAUCUCAAAGGGCUUGUUUUUUCUGACUACUGUUAUGCUUGUGUGUCUGGUUUGUUCUAUUUCAGCCUUGACAUUAAGAUUGUUAAUGUAUUUAACUUUACGUAUUUCACUCUUUUUCAGCCUGACAUAACACAGAUGGAUGAUGAUGAAAUCUGUGAGGACGUUAGUAAGCUAGAGGAGAAGCUUGAUGAACAGGUAGUUUCUCAAAGGAAUUAUUGAGGCUCCAAUAUGUAAUCUUGUAUUUAUAUUAUCUUUUUUCUUCGCAGUAUUGUUUUCACCUGUAAUUUUAUGAUAAUUGCCUUUAGAUAUUCAACGAUUUCUAUCUUUCUUCCAUGCCACACCGCUAUAUUUAAUUGUUGGACUUUCUAACAUAAGGUUUAAAACUUUUUCUGAGAAGUUCAAUUUAUAAUUUUGAUGUGAAUGCAAUAGGUUUCAAGGAAGAAAGGCUUGCUUGAUAAACUGUUGAAAGCUGCCUCAGAAAUAAGGGCACUUCAGGAGAAGUAUUGUUUUAUCCUUUCUCUCCAGAUAGUUUUGUAUUCAUUUUCCUUUUAACAUAAAGUCAUUGGUACCUGGUAUAUGUAUAAGCAUAUAAUUUUUUAUAUAGGGAAUUUGAACAAAAUGCUCUUGACAAGCUUGUCACGAUGGCUUAUGAAAAGUACAUGGUAAUUCUCCUAAUAUCCAAUCUCCUUUUCGUUUUGGUUUUCAUUUGGGCACACCCAUAAUGAUAAUGUUUAAUAUCUUGAAUGCACAGAACCAAGUCUGUACAAAAGCCCUUUAACAUAAGGAUAUAGAAAUCCAAUCUUUAGUCUAGAAUAAAGUCACAGGAUUUCAAGGAAAUAAUUGUCUGGCUGGACUAAACCUAACAAAGCAAGAAAAAAAUGGAAAUGGGCAGGUUGACUAUAUUAUUAACCUUAACUGAGUCAAAGUUGGUGAAAAUCUUCUAUAUCACAGGAGUGAACUACCUCCUAUUGGGUUGUUCAAACUCCUUAAAAUAAUCAGAUAGUGAAGAGACAACAUCUCAAGAUGGGUCCAGAAAAUUCUUUUGGCCGUUAUCUUAGCUCAAGUGGAUAAUGCUUCUCCAGUCCUCCUUAUCUUAUAUCUGGAAUCUGUUUUGACUCUGAGUGUAUGUGGUUGAAAAACUGAGGUAGUGUACUUUCCCCUCCCCAUUCCCAGUAUAUAUGCUUUGACGUUCUCAAGAAUCUAUUAUUUUUUAACCUUUGAGUAUCUGGGGUUUGGAUUUUUUUUUACAAGCCCUUUGAAGUAUUUGGCCAUCAGAGCUUUAGCUAAUAACUCUUCUGUUCUCUCUUUAGCUACAUGGAUGACAAAGAUAGUUAAAAUGCUAAGAACUGAAUGGGUAGUUGGGGCUUGGUUUUCUCUGUUUAUGUUACAGCUUUUCAUUUUCCACUGAGAAUUUUUCAGUAUCAUGCUGGUGUUCUAUUUUUGACAAUUUAUCCAUUAUCUUUUAAUAGAGUUGUUGGGGUCCUAAUGCUACUGGUGGGAAGAGUUCCAGUAACAAAAUGAUCAAGCAAGCUGCCUUAGCAUUUGUUAAACGAACAUUAGAUCAAUAUCAUAAAUUUGAAGAUACAGGCAAGAGCUGUUUCGAUGAGCCCAUGCUUAGGGACAUUUUUGUUUCUGGAUCUUCCCGGCUAAAUGGUGCACGACCAGUAGAUACUCCUACAGAUGGCGGCGAAUCUGGGAAGCCAUGUGCUUACAGCUUCACCCGUUCUCUGGAAGGUAGAACUUCAGGUAUUUACUGUGGUGCCUAUGGAAAGACUGAGAGCAUACACUUUAAUUCCUUCAUGUCUAGUUGUGUCUAUUCAUGUGUGUUCCAUCCCAUGUAAUGUAAUCAUCUCUAAGAUGUUCUUCAUUGGUACUUUUUGCUCUGUCUUCUCACACAAAACAACUCUGGCAGGUCAAAGUGGGGAUAGCUAUCCUGUUGAUCUGCUUCCACCCACAAACCGAUUAUCCGACCAAACCACUGUUAAAGAUGACUCAUGGUCUAACAAGGUGAAAACCACUGUUAAAGAUGACUCAUGGUCUAACAAGGUGAAAAAGAGAGAGUUAUCGCUCGAGGAUGUAGUUGCUGGUACUAUUGGUGCUUCUAGUGUUCAGCCAGGCAUUGGGAGUUCUUUGUCAAGCAGUACAAAAGGAAAGAGGAGUGAGAGAGACAGAGAUGGAAAGGGACUUGGUAGAGAGGUUUUACCUAGAAAUGGAACUAAUAAGAUUGGUCGACCCGCAUCCAAUGUGAAGGGGGAAAGGAAACUAAAAAUAAAGCCUAAGCAGAAAAUGACUCAACUAUCUGUUUCUGUGAACGGCAUUCUUGGUGAGAUGUCAGAGCACCCCAAACCAUCAACCUCCAUAUCAAAGUCAAAUGAGAUAACUAUCAAUAAUAAUGCCAAAGAAAAAGAUGAUUUUGGCCUGGAUGUACUGGAUGACUUGCAGCUACCAGGACAAGAUUUGGGUUCAUGGUUAAACAUUGAUGAUGAUGGAUUACAAGAUCAUGAUUUCAUGGGCCUUGAAAUUCCCAUGGAUGAUCUUUCUGACUUGAAUAUGAUGGUUUGAGUUUGCUUUCUUUGUAUAGUCUUGUUCAUUAUACCGUUGACAAACAAAAACAUAAUCACUGUCAUCAAGAGAUUACUGUUACAUGGAUAGUUGCUUGGCUGUCCGGUCCACAAUUAGGUUACACAGAUUCUUUAUAGACUCCCCCAGAAGUUGAUUUUCAAGUGAACCCAUUUGGAUAUCUUGAAUUUUUCUCUUAAGUUGAUGACUUCGACUGUAAAGAUCUUUUGUUCCUACUAGUAUGUCUUAGCAAAAAUGUAUCCUGGCUGUAGCCUUUACAAAUCAGAAGUAAUGCUCAGAUUGUACAUAAAAUUUAUAUUCUCAAUAAAAUUAGUUAUUUUUGUUCAAUAUAAAUACCUUAUAAACGUAAUCUUGUAGGGUUUUCUUUCCUGAUUUUCUGUUUUCUUGGUUUUCAUUUUCACUUCCCAACUGCAAUGGCCAUUCAAAGUUAUAUGAGAUGUGGUAAUUUCUCCUGAGGUUUGUUUAUGAAGAAAUUUCUCUUCUAAGGAUAAGAGGUAAGAAUGUUCAAUUCAAGAAAAAGAUGAUUUGUGAUACUGACGGGGGACUAUUAGUUCUGUAUUUUUUCCUAGGUUAAUACUUGAAGUUGCAGGUUCUCACUAUCAGCUGCAUUUAUUAACUCGAACUAAAAGGUUGUUGCAUCAAAUUUGUGCUUCUCUUUACUGUCCUUCUAGGGUACUGACUUCUCACAGUGUUACACGCACUAGGUUAUGCUUUAAGUCAUUAUUUGUAAUCAAUUUUGCAUUGCACUCUUCUAUAUCUCUCUCUCUCUCCUCCUUUCUCCUAGUAAGAAAUCUACAAUGUUUGCAGGUAAACUGCUCUCUUGGAUUUCCUGAUUGAAAGACCUAUAUACCUGGGAUUCAAUGCUAGAUUGCCAUCUGCCAUGUUCUGAUAAACCUGCAUUGCCACUGAGGUAACCUUUGUCUAGUCUUCACCAUAAACCUUUCCAGGCAUUUUAUAUUUUUCUUUACAAUUAUUUUUGCAAGAGAAAAUAUCUACAUUCUUUAUUUUCGUUCUCUUAGGGAAGGCGAGUCAUUAUUUCUAGGACAUUGCCUAAAGCUUGGCAGUGCUCAUGUUAUGUAAUGUUCAUCCCCUGCAGUUUAAAGCUUACAUUUGAUUUAGUUUUUCAUGCAUCUCAACUUGCUUUAUAUAAAAAGUUUGAUAUACUGGAUGGGCGCAUAAGGAAUCUUGUCAUGUUUGUAUUGAGACAUAAGUUCUUUUUGUAAUUUCUCCUCUAGGAAAGUAGACUUUAGGCUUGAGUAUACGUUUGCUUUAGUUGCUAUCAUUGUAACUCAAGCUGUUUACUGGUAUUUGGUUUAAUUGUUCAUAUAUUGGCCUCUUCAGUUAUCAUGUUUAAGCAUUUCUGAAUUCAUUAUAAACUUGAGAUUCUUUUGCGUAAAAAUUGCACACCUUGUUUGGAUACCACGGUAGGGACUAAAUGAUUCUGAGGUGCUUCUGGUAUUUACUUCUUGAGAACUUUGAUUUGGCGUCCUGCUUUGCAGUGCUUCUCAGUGUAUGGUUAGGGAUGACUAUCGUUUUUAACUAAUUUUAUUCAGUUUCUUGGAAUCAUUCCUGUAUGCCAUGGUUCGAAAAUCAAGUUGCAAAACAAAAGAAAUCGUUCCUGUAUGAUGUGGUUCAAUAAUCAAGUCGCAAAACAAGAGGAAAUUGUGGAGGUUGGGUUGUUUCCUUUGUUCAUUCAUCAUAUUAGUAACUAAGCAGAGACUGCCCUCCCAAUUUGCAUUCAUAUGACCUUUCAAUAUUUAUAAAAUUUUCCUUGGAAAAGAAAUCGACCCUGAGAAUUAAUUGUGAACCUGUUUCUCAGUUCUGUUUAAGCUUGUAAAGGUCUAGUUAUGCUGGGAAAUUCUGCCGCAAGAAGUUGUUCUAUUCUGGGGAUGGAAAUAUACACUCAUAAAUGUUUUACCUUGAAAUACUUGUGUAUUGAAAUGCAGGGAAGUUUCAACCAAUAAUAUGUGGGCUAUAUUUUGCAUUUUUGUGGCUGUCAAGGAUUAAUUUUUUGGUGACUGAGUUAAAAAAAGGUCCAUACUUUGUACCUGCAAUCGUUAGUUAAACGCAGAAUUGAGCCAAUUGCGAUGAUUCAAGGGCAGAUUUCUAUCAUACAAAACUUCCAUGACAUUGUCUGUAGAUCACAAAGCAAGACAUUUUUCCAUACUUUAUUUCUUAGGAAUCUUCUCAUUUGGUUAUUGCUAGAAGUCAUGAAAAUAGUUAAAUAUUGUUAAUUGAAUUAAUUUAUUACUAACUCAUAUACUAAAAAACGUGUAAAAAAUACUACUCUUAUUAUUAAUGAUUUUAGUAAUCUUUUAUGUAAUUAACGCUGCACCACUGGUGUGGCUGUUAGCUUGAUGGUAAGGAUUUUGGAAUUUAUUAUUUUUUUCAUGUCAUUUAUUUGAUAAAAACUAAACAAAAUAAAAACCAAUUCCAUCUCUAGUAAUCUUUUCUUUUCUCGUCUUCGGAUUUGCUGGCGGUGUCGUCGUAUUCUUCUUCUUUCGAACAAUCCUUUCUUGUUUUUGGGUGAGUAGCUCGUUUGUCACCUUCUGUUCUGGACGUAGUUCGUUGCGGCCAUGGACAGAGAAGCUGAGGUGGCAAAAACGGUGCAAUAGUGGGAGUGGAACUGUUGCAGAAACGGAGCUGGGAAUAGUGUUAUAUUUGCUCUUCAGUUUUCAAACAUAUUAAAGUUUCACUAUGAACAAUGUUUCCCAAUUUGUGUGUGAGACAAGAGGGGAAAAAGAAGAAAAAAAAAUUGAAAAUCAACAAGAUGGUAAGUAAAGGGACGAAACGGAGCCGUUUGAAAUUCCAUCACAAUAAAAGAAAUUUAAAUAUAGCUGAUGGAAUACUUGUCAUGGAUUCGGAGAGACUUUUAUAUUUUUGUUUGGUAAGCUUCUGCUUUGCAAAAUUUUUAAGUUUGAUCCAUUCAUGCUUCUGGUAAUAUUGAUAUUCUCUAUGCAGGUGUGGAUUUAUCAAUUUUGCUGGUAAUAGGAAAUGUUUAUGCUGCCAGGAGGCAAGGCCCAAGAGAUAGUUAAAUCUUGCGGAAUGGGAAUGCCCUCCGUAUGUUUCUCUAUUUCCAGCUCCGCAACGGUUCGCUCUCACUGUCGUACCAUUGUUUUCCACCUCAGCUUCUCUGUCCAUAGCCGAAACGGACUACUCCCGAAGAGGAAGGUGACGAACGAGCUACCUGAUUAGAAAGAAGUGAGGGUUAGGAAAAACAAUUCGGUGAGGCUACUGACGAGUCUAACGGCGAAAAAAAUUGUUCUGGCGAAUGAGAUUGAGAGGAUUAUUAGAGAUGGACUUGACUAUUAUUUUGUUUUGUUUUUAUCAAAUAAAUGACAUGUAAAUGUGUUAAGGAUAUUAUUAUUAUUAUUGUGGGAUAUGUUUUAGGAAUAUUUAAAUAUAGACAAGAAUAAGGUAAUCCCAUUUUAUUUAUAAAGCUUAAAAGUAUACAUCAUUUUAUAGGAAAGAUAUAUAAUAUAUUCCUAAAUAUAUGCCUAAAAGAUAUACAAUAUAUCUAAACAAAGAUAAUAUCCCAUAAUAAUAUAUUUCUUAAAUAUAUCGCAAUAAUAAUAUCCUAACACCCCUUUCAAGUUGGAGCAUGCAGAUAAUAAAUGCUCAACUUGCUAAGAAGAUAUUCAAAUUGCGGUUUAUCAAGCACCUUUGUAAAAUGUCAGCCAAUUGAACUGAGGCUAGAACAAAAGAAGCCACAAUCAACCUAUCUUGGAUUGCAUCCGAUAACAAAGUGACAAUCCAUUUCAAUAUUUUAGUAUGAUUUUGAAAUACAAGAUUCUGUAUAAUAUGCAACGCAAAUUGACUAUUACAAAAUAAAAAAAAUAGCUUUAGGAUGAUGAACACCUAAGCUCAAUAGCAAGGCCUUCAGUUAUUUGAACUCACAAGUGACAAAAGCCAUAGACCUAUACUCAUCCUCAGUAGAAGAAUAGGAAACAAUAUGUUGUUUCUUAGUUUUUCAAGAAAUAGGAGAUUAUCCCAAAAAUACAAGCUGGCCAGUACGUGAAUGCUGAGUUAACGGACAAGUAGCUCAAUAUGAAUCACACUAUCCCUUUAAGGACAAAUCACUAUUAGAUCUUAAUAUAACUCCUUGGCCAAGAGAGCCUUUUAAGUAUUGGACAAUCCGUAGAGCUGCGUCCCAAUGCUCCUGCCUCGACUCAUGCAUAAACUAAGAUAAAUACAUGAACCGAGUAUGCUAAAUCAGGUCUGGUCACUACCAAAAAAAUCAAAUGAUCCAUUAACAGUCUGUACAACUUAGGAUCAGUUAAAACCGCCCUUAUAGCAUGUGCCAAUCUAUAAUCUUGCUCUAUUGGGAAUCCUGCGGGUUUUGCUCCCAAAAAACCCAUCUCUGAAAUAAUAUCAAGUGCGUAUUUCCUUUGAAAAAAAAAAUACCUAAAGAACUACAAGUUACCUCUAUCCCCAAAAAAUAUUUGGCAUAAUUGCAAAAAAUACUUGGCAUAAUUGCAAAAAAUACUCUUAACGUUUAGGGGUUUUUGGUUUUGUUGCAUUGACCUUUUAUUUAUUAUGGCCCUUAACGUUACGAUUUUUCUACAAUUCAGUCCAAUUUUAACGGGAAAUGCCAGUUGACCUUUAGUUAAGCAUCGGUCAACAAAACUGUCUAUGUGGCGUGCCAAGUUGAAGAUGACGUGUCAAAAAAAGAAUUAAAUAUAAAAUUAAAAAGAAAUAAAUAAUCUAAAAAAAUAACCUCACAUCGUGAAAUACCAAAUCAUCCCAAAAAACUAUAAAUCCCAAAUCGUGAAAUCCCUAAAAACUAUAAUUCCCAAUCGUCGUUGAAUCCUUAAAACUCUUACAAUAAAAAGAAAAGCUUCAACAAUUUCCAAUAUUCAAGAAACUCACGACAACAAAAGAGUUUGAUUGUAAAAGAAAUCUUAGGGGAAGGAGGGGGAGCCAAAGAUUGAUAUGAUUAGGACAGACUUUGUAACCCAAAUUAAAAGGUAGGUGAUUUUUGAUUGGGUUUUUUGGGAAAAUGUUCUGGUUUUUUUAUUUUUAAUUUGGUAUAAUUUAGAUACCCAAAGUAAAAAAAUGUUAUGUUGUUGUCUGUUGUAGUUUCCAUUGCCACAAAAAUGGGUUUUUUUAACAAUAGUGGUGGUUGAAAAUUGUUAGUGUUAUCGAUUUUUUAUGCGAUAAUGAGGUAUAAGAUGUAGGGACCGAACUACAUAGAAAAACAAUAAUUCCAAGCAAAAAGCUUUUCAAAUAUAUUUGAAUAUCGAAAAAGAAGGAUGCCUACUAUGUUCUAUUGUUUACUUUUAGUAAUGUUUUAGUGCUUGUUGAUGUAUUCAAAGAAGUGGUCUUGUUUUGGAUUUUAUUUUAUUUUUUUGCUGGUUUUUGCUGAGUAAAUUGUUUGUUUAUGGUUACAGAUGUCGUGGGAUGAGAAAUAAUACCUUAUUUUGCACGUGGGUGGGCACUUUUUACAGGAUCCAUAUGUUAGAUAUGUAAGUGGGGAAGUGAUUAGGCUUAAAGAGGACCCAAGCGCAAUAUCCUAUUUUGAAUUAUGUAAAAUAUUGAAAAUUGGGUUAGGGUUUCACACUGUCAUGUUAAUAUAUUUUCAUGAGCCUGGUACAGUAGGGUUGCAAAAUAAUCUAAGGGUGAUUUAUGAUGACACUUCCACAAUAGCUAUGUUAGACUUUUGAGUUAAGUUUAAGGAGAUUAACCUAUAUGUUAAACAUGAGGGAGAUAUGUUACUAUUGAUUGUUGGGGAGAGUGAUUUUGAAGAUGAUAUGUUACUAUUGAAUGCUGGAGAGAGUGAUUUUGAAGGAGUAGAAGCUGAUGGGGAGGGUGAUGUUGAAAGGGUACAAGCUGAUGGAGAGGGUGAUGCUGAAGGGGGAGAAGCUAAUGGGGAGGAUGAUGUAGAAAGGGUACAAGCUGUUGGGCAGGGCGACGUUGAAGGGGUAAAAGCUGAUAGGGAGGGUGUGACUGCUACACAGUUUGAGGCAGAUGAGUAUGAUGGUAGGAAGAUGAGUUUAGGACCAACUAUUGGAGAAGAUAAUGGUAGUGGUUUUGGAUCAUUUUUUGGUGAUGAAAAUGCUACUGAUUUUGCAACAUCAGAUGGAAUGGACAAUGUUGCUAUUGCAGUUAGUGGAGAAGAGGAGGAUGGGAAUGAGGCUGAGGUAUAUGACUCAGAUGAACAUGGCAACUUGGUUAGGUCAGAUAAAGAUGAAGAACAUGGAGAUGGUGAGAGAAAGACAAGCAAGUUUCCCUUAUAGAAAGACCGGCUUGAUCCGUUAAAAUUUAGUUUGGGAAUGUUGUUUAAGGAUAGCAAACAAUUUAAGAGUGCAAUUCGAAACUACUUUAAAGAAUGUAGAAGACAAUUGGAGUUUCUUAAGAAUGAACCGAAAAGGGUUGCUGUGAAGUGCAUUGCUUCCCCUAACUGUCCGUAGAGAAUUUUGUCUAGCUACAGUCCUGUUGCCAAGUGUUUGCAAAUUAAGAAUUUUCAGGAGGAGCACCAUUUUUUGGCUAGUUUUAAGAACAAAAUGGUGACUGCUGCUAUGAUUGCUCAACAUUUUGAAGCAAUUAUCAAGGAUCACCCUAAGAUCUUCCUGAGCGAAAUUCAAAGAAGAUGUGCUUCAGAGAUAUAUGUAAAUGUGAGCAUUGAUGUUGUUAUAGAGCUAAGAAAAUAGUGAAGGAGAAAAUGAUUGGAAAAUCUAAGGAGGAAUUUGGCUGGUUAUGAGAGUAUGCUCAUGAGUUAAGGUCAAAGACGCAGACAACAUAAUAAAAAUGGUUGUUCAAAGGGCGACAACAGAUUCCCCUCCUCAUUUUAAGAGGUUUUAUGUGUGCUCUGAUGCACUAAAGAGAGGUUGGAAAGUGAGGUGUAGGCCACUUAUUGGGCUAGAUGAUUGCUUCCUAAAAAGCCCAUUUAAAAGUGAAUUUCUCGUAGCUGUUGGAAGGGACGUAAACAACCAAAUGUUCCCUAUUGCAUGGGCUAUGGUUGAAGUGGAGUGCACUGAUUCAUGGGUCUAGUUUCUUAGUCUUCUAUCAGUUGAUUUGGGCUUAGAAGAUGGGUAUGGGUACAUAAUUAGUAGUGACCAACAGAAGAUUAGUGAAUUAACUAAUUUGGUUUUGGUCUUGUCUUUUUAUUCUGUUAAGUAUUAUUAACUAUAUUUUUCUAACAAUCUAUCUGGUUUAUUAUGACACAAUUAGGGCAUUGGGAUUGUAAUUUCUGAUAUACUGCCAAGGGUGGAACAUAGGAAUUGUGCGAGGUACGUGUUUGCAAAUUGGUCAAGGAGGAAGCUAAGGAAAUCAUAUGAGUAUGAUUUUUGAUAGAUUGUGAAGUCCACGACUGAGAGGGAGUGGGAGGAACUAUGUGUAUCACAGAGAAGAAAGAUAAUGAUGCUUAUGAUAGUUUGAUGAGAAAGUCUCCAAAGAUGUGGACUAGGCUUUUUUGGGGACUACUUGUAAAUCAGAUAUAGUUGACAACAAUCUAUAUAAAGCCUUUAAUUCAAACAUUGUUGAAGCUAGGUUCAAAAGCAUUAUCAAAAUGCUUGAGGAUAUUAGGACCAAGAUGAUGACUAGGAUAGUACAAAAAAAGAAGUUAUGUAAUGGAUGGAAACAAAAUUAUGGUCCAUUGGUGAAAGCUAAAUUUGAUGCCAACAAUAAGGACUGUGUAAAGUGACAAUUGAUAUGGAAUGGUGAAAAUGGACGUGAGAUGAGAAAAUGAAGUUAUUGAUAAAUGCCAAAAGUAACAUGUUUUAGCUUCUUUCUAAAUGCAUUUUUGGAUAGUAUUUGAUUUAAAAUGGUGAAUUUUAUGCUCACAAUCCUUUAAAUUCAUGUUUUUACACUUGGGAGAGCAUUUGGGAGCAAAAAGAGCAAAAAAUGAUCGAAAAACAAUAGAAAAUCAAAAAAUCGAAGCAAGUUUCAGGAACCACAUGGGCUAGGCCAUUCCACACGGGUUGGACACACGGUCGUGUGGGUCACACGGGCUGCCAUACGACCAUGUGCUAGACCAUGUGGAUUUUACGAAUCGCACUCUAAACAUGCGAGAAAACACAAUUUUUAGGUUUUUUUUUGGGCAUUCUAAGACAUAUAUAUGACAAAGCUAAGAAUAUGAGAGUGAGUUGUCAAUGAAUAUUGAAGAAAACAACUCAAAAAACACAAUUGAAGCCGAAUCUGAAUCAAAUUUCCAUUAAGAUUGAAGAUCUCCUUUUGAUUUCUUUGAAGUUUAUUAGGAAUUUCUUUAUUUCUUGUGGUUAUAUUAUCUUUGAGAUGUUUUUAUUUGCUAUCAUGAACUAGUUCUCCAAAUACCUAGGGAGAUGAACUUUAGGAUGGAUUCUGUUAUUUGAUUUCUAUUUUUAUGCAAUAAAUACUUGGAUCUUGUUCUCAAUUAUGUGUGCUUAAUUUUUGGUUUAAUAUUUCUAGAUUAUUAAUCCAUGUUUGAUGUGCUUGAAUCAAAGGAGGAAUAAACCCUGUUUAAGAGUAGAUCUAGCAUAAUUGAGUGGAGUUGCAUGCAAUCCUAGAAAUAAGACGACAUAAAUCUACCAUAUUAGAGUCAAAUCUAAUAGGGGGAUCCAUAUAUCGAGUUAACGCGAUUGUGACAGCCCUAAUUUGGCCCUAGUCGAAAAGUGGUUUCGGGAUCACAAAACCGAGUCACAAAAAUAAUUAAAUGUUAUAUUCUAUGUUUAUUAUAUGUGAAAGUGCAUGUGUGAAAAUUUCAUGCAUUGAUUUUGUCAUUUGAGAGUAAAAUUAUGAAAUAGGACCUAUGUGAAAAUUUCUGAAAAUGCUAUAGGCCAAAUUGUAGUGGCCAAAUAAUUUGUAGUGUAAAAUAGGAGGAUUUGCAUGUCAAACCUCCCAUUUUACAUGUAGUGGCCGGCCAUAAUGUUGGUGGUAGACAACAUGUGCAAAUUUUUUUAUUGAAAUUAUGGCAUGAGUAUGGCACAAAUAUUAUAUGCCAUUUUGUGUCAUAAAUUGUUGGGUAAUUAGAAUAAUAAGAGUAACAAAAGGAAGUGAAGGAAAAGUUUUGUCCAUCCUUGUUCAUGGUAGCCGAAAAUGGAAGAGAAAGGAGAGGAAAAGAGCUUUUGAAUGUUCGGUCACUUGGGGAAGAAAAUCCAAGGUAAGUUCAUGGUGCUUUGCUUCUAUUUUGAUGUUCAUGGGUUUUUCUUGUUUCUGCCUUAACCCAUGAAGCAUAUUUUUGAUAUUUGGUUGUGUUGUGAGCAUUCGGUCAUGAAUGGAAAUGAGAGAAAUGGUUGUUGUUUCAUGUUCUUUUGAUGAAAAAUGGAGAAUAGAUGAAGUUGAGCCAAGAAAAUGAGCAUGUAUGUGCCUUAGAUGCUAAGGGGAAAAAUCGGCUAACAUGUUGUGUGUAUUAUGGCUGAAUGUGAACUUGGAUAAUAUUGAGUAAUGUUGUGCCUUAAAAUGAUGAAAGGAAGAUUAUGCUUAAGUGAAGUUAUAGGUAUGUGAUGAUUGAUUUGUGAUAUGCAUGUUUAAAUAACAUGCAUGCAAGGUAGUGUGAAAGAGUGAAUUGGUAAUAAAUCUGCUUGGGACAGCAGCAGUAACGUGAUUUUGGAAAAUCACCAUAAAUUGUGGGAGAUGAUUUAGAAGCUGAAUAAAUUAUUUAAUUAAAGCUUAAUGAGUCUAGUUUCUUAUAAAAAAAACCGUGUAAGAAAAAUAAUUGCCGAUGAUGAGAUAUUUGAAGUGAUGUGGGACAGGGUCAGAAUGACUUCUAGAUCCUCUGUUCUGUUUUCAUAAAAUCAUUAUAAAUUGUAAAAAAAUGGUUAUAAGAUGAAGUUUAAAUGCUUAGACUCUUAAAUGAGUCUAGUUUCCAAUGAAAUAAAUGAGAACAUAUUUUGAAUUUUUUACAAUGAGAAAUUUUAUUCGAAGUGAAGAGUGGUCAGAUUAGUCAAACAGUGAAAUAAGGGAAACUUUAAGAAAAAUCUGGUAUUGAUUGGCCAAACCAAAAAUCCUGAAAAUUUUAUGGGUAAAAUAUAUAUGGGUCUAUUUUCAGAGAAAAUUAACGGAACUUGAUCUGGAGUUUUGUAGCUCCAGUUAUAAAUGAUUUAGUGACUGUUGCUCAGGAAGAUAGCUUGCAGUGAAAUUAUGAUUAUGUGGUAAACAUUGACAAAAAAUUGUUAAUGAGUUGCUUAUUGAUUUCUUAUGAGCUUACUAUGAUCAGUAGGUGUGAAAGUUUAAUAUAUAUAUAUUAUAUUUUGAAAGUGAUGCUUGAAUAGUCGAAUAAUGACUAGUUUAAAAUCUUUAAAUUUUAAGCUCAAGAGCAUAGAGGGGCAAAUUCGGAUAAGAGAAAAGAGAAAGUAAUCGAAUAAUCGUUGUAAUCAUUCGGCAACAUUUGAGGUAAGUUCUUAAGUGUUUAAGCUUGAUUCCUUUUUAUAUGCCCAAGAGUUAAAUUAAUAUGGUAAAGGGAAUGUAAAUUUUAUUUAGUUAAUGUGCCGAAUAUGUAAUGAUUUAAGGCUAUAAGCCGAUUAUGGCUAUUAUGCUUAAGUUGAAUUGGAUUUGGAAAUUUGAUGCACUAAAUGAGUGUUACAAUGAAUAAACUAUGCCGUAUAUGUGCUGGUGGAGAUAUCACGAUUUGUGAUUAUUAAAUACCUAAAGGAAACCAUGAUGUGUAUAAAAUUAUUAUUAUUAGUCCUUUGUGAUAGCCGAAUAUGGCUUGGCACUAAAGUGAUUAAAUGUGAACUUUGAUGAGGUAAACCAUUAAAAGUGUGGUGCUAUAAGACUAUGGGCUAAUACGAUAUGUGGAUUCGUUCCGUAAAGUAAAUUAUUCAGGUAUGCCAUAUGUACUUAGGCAUGUUAAAUCGAUUGGAAUUGAAUCAUGAAUGUGAAUUGAGAAGCAUAGGUAAAAAUGCCUAUGACAUAUAUGUGAGUAAGGGUAAAACCAUCGUAAAUUAUCGAUAAGGAUGGGCUAUGUGCGGAACCAUCUUAUAAUUGCUAAUUUGAAAGGUUGUGUGCGAAUUAGUGAGCAAUAUGUAUAUAUUAGAUGAAUCGUAACCUUUUGGUUCUACUUGAACUAAGUUGCGCGAUAAAUAAUUUAUGCAUAUGACUUAUAGUCGAAUGGUCACUAUGGGUUAAGUUUGAAUGGUGAAAUGGAAAUGUGAUAUGUUGAAUGAGAUGUGUUAAUAUAUAAUUAAAUAUGCAUGAUAUUUGAUGUGUAUCCGGGCUUAAAGACCCGCAGGCUUCGUGCUGGUAAAAUAUCUGGGUUAAAUCCCGCAGGCUUCGUGCUGGUAUUAUAUCCGGGAUAAAUCCCGAAGGCCUAGUGCUGGUAUUAUAUUCGGGCCUUCGUGCCUAGCAUGCUUCGUGCCGGUGAUGUGUAUUCGGGCCUUCGUGCCUAGCAGGCGUAAUGCCGGUGAAAUGAUAUGUUAUGUGAAUUCGGUGUUCCUUGUAAGAUAAGGGUUUAGCCGAAUGUUACAGAUGAAAUGAUAGUGUAUUGUAUCAUGCUUAUAUGGCCUAAUGGCAAGUAUAACAUGUUGGUAAAUAUGCAAUGUGCUUUUAUAAUUGAAUGAUAAGUUUGAAAUGAAUGUGAGUGAAAUGUUAUGCAUAAGCUAUCAAAUGUUAAGUGUGAAAAUGAUAUGAAAGAAAAAUGUUUGAGAUGUAUAAUUAUAUAUACGUUCGAAUGAUGUUAGUACUCAAUUGAUAUGAAUAUGUUAUAUGGAACUUGUUGAAUUGAUUAUUCGGGCCUUUGAGCUUAGCAGACUAUAAUGUCGGUAAGAUACUAUUCGGGCUUUCGAGCCUAGCAGGCUAUAAGCUGGUGAAAUGAUAUCAGGCCUCGAGCCUAGCAGGUGAAAUGCCGGUGAUUUGAGAAAAGCCUAUGACUAAGGUACCUCGUGCUAGAUUGUCAAAUGAAUACAUUUAAUACGUAAAGUGGGCCAAGUACGCAGUAUGUACUCAUAUGUGAGUUUGAUUUGAAGUGAAUCAUAAGGGAGUAAUGUGAUACGUACGUGAAUAAAUGUUAAAACUAUACCUAUGAUCAUGAUACACCUGGUCAGGGUGUGAAAGUAUGUGAGGGUAUUUGAUAAAAAUAUGUUAUAUGAAUUCAGAUUAAGUGUGAUAAGAAUGCUGAACGUGCAUUAUGUGCUUGUGUAUAUUCGGCCAGAUUGCAAUAUCCCUAGAAUUUGGCCUCUUAAGAAAUUAAAUAAUCGAAGUAUAAUUGCAUUUAUUUGUUUGCAUUGCUUAAUACUUACUAAGCUUAUGAAAGCUUACUCCGUUGUUACAUUUCUCUGUUUUAUAGAUUGUUGACUUCAGUUACCUGCUCGGGUUGGAGUUCGUCGGAGAUAUUAUCACACUGUCGAGCUCACGUUAUCGGUGUAAGUAAAUCCUAGUAUUUCGAGUCUAUGGCAUGUAUAGGGUUUUAAUGUUUUGGACCUCGUAAGCUCAUAUAUGGGAUAGAUUGCAUGUGAAAAGAAAAUUUUUAAAUUGAUUGAAAUUUUUUAGCACGGUUUUUGUGUGAUUGACUGAGUUUAAGUCGGGUAACACCUCGAACCCUAUUCCGGUGAGGGAUAUGGGCGAGGGGUGUUACAGCGAUAAUAGGUAUUUUAAUUAGAAAGAAGUUUUAAUUAAUCAACCUAGAGUUAGUUGCUCUUAGUCUUGAAGAAAGAUAUUAGCAUAAUUUAGAGAUUUCUACGGAUCAAGAUACUAAGUGGAGAAAUUGCGUGGUUUAGAUUAAUAAUGACAUAUGAAGUCUAGGUGGAUUCUUUCUUGGGUAUUGUCUCACUUCUUGGUUGUUAAUAAUUUAUUUUAUUGAUUUGUUCUUUGUUGUGUUCUUUAGUUAAUUAAUUUAGUUAACUUUAGUUUUAAUCAAUCACUCCAAUUUGUCGUUUAAAUAAUAGAAAGACGGUAAUUACUAGUACUUUUAGUCCUUGUGGGAACGAUAUAUUUCCUCACUGCGGCUAUACUAUUAAUUCAUAGGGGCACUUGCCUUUUUCAAAUUUUUAGUUGGUUUACAACUGCAAUCAAUUAUCAAUAUACAGUGGACCUAAGUCAAAGGAUAUGUAGUUGUAGAAAUUGGAAAAUUAGUAGGAUUCCAUGUGCCCAUGCAUGUGCUACCACGUAUCACCUAGGGCUUCAACCAGAUGACUAUCUGCAUGAAUGUUAUCAUAUAGAGACCUAUAAGAAAGUUUAAUCAUUUCCAAUGCAACACAUAAAUGGGCCAUAUGAUUGGGAAAAAAUUGGUAUUGAGCUAGUGCUACCUCCUAUUGAAAGAAAGAUGCCUCAGAAGCCCCAAAAGAAUAGGAGGAUGCCUAAAGAUGAACCGAAGAAAUUGAAGCCUGAAUACUUGAGUAUGAAAGGCCAAAUCAUGACAUUUACUCAAUGUGGCCAACAUGGCCAUAACAACCGGUCUUGCACACAAGGAAACGAACAUGCUAAACAAGUACAAUGUUGUUUUUCACUUACAUAUAUUGAGUAAAUUUAUUUUGUUUAACCACUUUCAUUAUGGUCCAUGUUUUGCAGCAAGAUGCACAACCACCCAAACAAAAGGAGAAAUAUCCCGUUAAAAAGCCAACAACCUCAGAUUAAUCUAAAGGAAAGCAACCCGAGAAAGGCAAAAUACAUGGAACAUGUGAAAUAGCCUGUUUUCAGUGAUUUAAAAAUAGUGGUUUCGAAACCACAAUUUUGACGAGUGAAUUAUUAUUUUAAUAUUUAUUAUAGGUCUAUAGGAUUAUAUUAAGGUCGUAUUAAAAUUUUGUUAAGAAAUUUUGCUGUUUAAAUGGUUAAUUAAGCGAAAAGGACUAAUUUGUAAAAAGCAUAAAAGUUGAGUUCUAUUAGUUAAAAGGGUCCAAUGGAUAUGAAAUCUUAAACUAAAGGACUUGAAUUGUAUAUAGACCAUUUAAGGUGUUAGUGGAUGUGUAUGGACAAGCUUUUAAUGAAAUUUUGAUCAUUUUUAAAGGUUUAAAUGGUAAUUGAUUAAUUAAAAGAAAAAUUAAGUAAAGAAAGAUGAGACAAAGUCAUCAUCUUCUUCCUUUCAUUUUGUUUCAACUAAAAAUCACCAUUUUUUUAGGGUUUGAGCAGUUGACUAGGCUUUCAUCUUGCAUGUAAGUGAUUCUGGUCCCCGUUUUUAAUGAUUUUUAUGUUUUUGAGUUUGUUUUAGCUUAAUCUAGCUAGCCCGAGGGCCAAUUUGCAAAAUUUUUAAAGGUUGAGGGACUUUCCAUGAAUUUUUUUGAAUAGGUUUUGAUGUUAGUUGAUAGAUUAUUAGUUUUGGUUGUAAAACAAACAUGUUUUGUUCAGUGAUUUUGAUGAAAAUGACAAUUAGCGAUUAAAUUGUUAAAAGUGUGAAACCAUGAGUUUUGUUGUGAAUUUUUGAUAAUUAUGAGUUGCUUUAAGGUCCCUUGCUUCAUGGGUUAAGUUGGAUUUAAAUUAAAUUGGUUAAAUUUUAAGUUAUGGGCUUAAGGAAUAAAUUGUGAGAAGUUAAAAUGUUAGAUCAAGAUAAACCACAAUCAGAUCUAAACUGAGGACAAGCUAAAGUUUUAAACUAGUUCGACUUUACUUCUAUGCCCUGGUUAUUGAGGUAAGUUUGUAUUUGAAUGUUUUCUAUGUUGUAAUAUAAAUGAAUUUGAAAAUAAAUGUAUUCAUUCUAUGAUGAAUUGAUGGAUGAUGAGUCCCAGUUGAACUUUAAUAAUUCUUAGGAUGCAAAUGGCAUGUCAUUAGGGAUUUCAUGUUUCGGGUGUUGGUCAUGAAUGUCCUACCAAUGGUUGAGGUCCUGCAUUUGUUAUGAAUUCUCCACAGCUCGUUGAGCAGCAUCGUGUAGCUUACAUUCCGACCCACAACUCGUGUGAGCAGGCCUAUUUCACAACUCGUGUCAGCAAUAAUGUAAAGUAAAUGUUAGGUUAUAUUUAAAGACACACUAUGUGUGUGUAACAGCCUAAUUUUCAAUGGUGUCGAAGACAGUAAUUUGAGAUCACUAAAUCUGAUGAGUGAGUUUAAAAAUUUAAUAAAUUAAUAUCUAUUAGUCAAGUGUGGUUUUAGAAGUAUGCUUGAAUUAGUAAAUUUUGUGAUUUAAAAGAAUUUAUUAGGUAAAUUGGGUAGAAAACGAGGUACUGAGACCUUGAUUUCAUGAACCGAGCCGUAAAUAUUUUUAUAGAUAUUUACAGAGUAUUAGUGAAUUAGUAUUAAAGUUUCGUUAGAAAAUUUUAAUGUUUUGAUAGUUAAUUAAUUAAAAAGGACUAGAUUGAACAAGGUGCAAAACUUGUUAAUUAAAGGUUAAAUAGUAUAAGUGAUAAUUAGGGAGGACCAAAUAGGUAAUUAGACAUACGGGAAAUUUUUGGACGACAUGUGGGAAGAAGAAAUGGACAAAAUUAGUGUGAACUAAGGGUAAAAUGGUAAUUUGGUUAAAAAAAACAAGUGAGCAAAUUGAAAAAUCUAGACAUUUCUUCCUAAUUCUUAGCCAAAAACACCAUAGGAGGUCUCCAAGAAGCUAGUGUUUCAUAGUUUUACUUCAUAUCAAGAGUCCAAAGAAAAUCGAGGAAAAGAAAAAUUAUCCAAAUAGUUCCUGAGCUACAACAAAUUUUACAAACUAGUACAGGUAAGUUCGUAUGGUUAAAUUUUGAUGUUAUUUAUUUAAUUGAUGAUUGGUAUUUAUGUUUAUUAUUGAAAAUAAAAUAUUAUUGAAAUUAUGAAAAUUGAAUUGAAACGUUCGAAACGGAUAGAACGCUGGAUUGAGUACAAUCGUUCAGUGCAAAAGAGGAAUUGACGGCAAAUUACCCAAGUAAACUGAGGUUCAGCAUUUGUUGCGGACUUUCGUGUUUGUUUUUCGUUUAGCUCACAUGAGCUUCAGUUAACUCAUAUGAGUUUCAGCUAACCCUAAUGGGUUUCAGUUAAACUCUUACGAGUUUCAGUCUAACCUUACUGGGUUUUCGUUUAGCUCUUAUGAGCUUCUGUUCAACCCUUACGGGUUUCCGUUAGAACUUAUGUGCUUCUGUUCAGCCCUCGAGCUUCUGUUUAUGAUGUACUCAUAUCCGUAAGACAUUCAUUAGUCUGAUAAAGGUUGAUAAAUCGGUAAGUGAUAUUUGAUACUAAAGGUUGAAGAUUCAAAGAUAAUAUUUAUUUUGAGAUGAAAUAAGUGAAUUCAUCAAUUGAAAUUGUGGUUGGCAGGAAAUAAUGAAUGAUUUAUUUACAUGCAUUGUUUUAGUGUGUUCGGUAAUGUAACAACCCGAUUUUGGGCCUAGUCGGAACAGUGGUUUUGGGACCACUAAUUCGAGGUCAGAGAAAAUAUUUUAUUAUUAUUUUAGAGUUAAAACAUGUUUGUUAUAGUGCAUGAAAAAUUUGGUGAAUUAAUUUUAGCAUUUGAGAGCUUAAUCGCGAAAAAGGACUAAAUCGCAUAAAGUUCAAAAGUCUUGAAUUGAUAGCUAAGGGUGUUAAGUUGCCAUGAAACUUAAACUACGGGCAUUUAAAGGGAAAAUAGACCGUUGGAUUUUAGCUUGGUCGACCAUGAGACAAACAAAUUAAAUGGUCAAAGUGUUAGGUAUUUGAUGACCUAAUAUGUGAUAAAAUAAUACUAAAAAAGCUUAGCCUUCAUCUCUUUCCUCCAUCCUUUCUUCUUGAUCAAAAAUAUCAGCCAUUAGAGGAGCUUUUGAAGCUUUAAAUUUCAGCCACUUAGUUUCUCUACAAGUAAGUGAUUUUGAGGGCUUUUCUUAAAUAUUUUUGUACUUUUGAGGUCCUUGUAUCUUGAGCUUUCUAACAAGUGGACUAUUUUACAAAAUGGUUGAAAGUCUAGGGUUUUUCCAUGAUAGUAGACAUGUUGUUUUCUGAAAUUUUAUGGAAUAAAAUGAAUCAUGGUUGUGAAAUAAACAACUUUUGUGAAGAGAUUUCUCAUGAAAACCCUAAAAAGGACCAUUUUGCAUAAGUUAUAAAAUAGGUGAUAAAUGUGUGAAAUAUUGAGAAUUUUGGACUACUUCUAGUAUAAAAAGUAAUCUUCUAGGCUUGAUUAGUGAGAAAAUAUGAUAAAAAUCGAUUUUUAGACUUAGGGGUAAAAUGGUCAUUUUGUAAAAAUCUAGGGGCAAAACGGUCAUUUUUCCAAACUAUGAAUUUUCGGGUGUCUAGAGUAAUAUGCUGAUGAGAUGAAACAAUUUCUAUCAUUUUAGAUCAAGAAUUACAAAAUCCGGGCCUAGACUGGGGAAAAGCGAAGUAAGUGGACUAAGCCGAGCUAGUCGUCUAUAGUUUGUAAUCUGAGGUAAGUUGUAUGUAAAUAAUGCAAUUAUAAUGUUAUUAUAUGUGUUUGAAUUGAUAUAGCAUAAAUUUCUUGGUUGUGGAAAUGAUUAUGUAUGAUGAAUAUUGAGAUGGUAGAGCUCCCGUUUGAACCCUAAGAAUAAAUUGGAUAUUCGUGCCAUGACAUUCAGGCUAUUUGUGUGCCAAUGUAAGACAUGUCUGGAACAUGCAUUGGCCAUAUUAUGAGAGCCAGUGUAAGACCAUGUCUGGGACAUGGCAACGGCAUUGAGACGGGAGGCAAUGUAAGACAUGUCUGGGACAUGCAUCAGCCUCGUGACAUAAGCCAGUGUAAGACAUGUCUGGGACAUACAUCGGCUAUGAGAUGUGUCAGUGUAAGACCAUGUCUGGGACAUGACAUCAACACAGAUAUGUGAGAGCUAGUGUAAGACCAUGUUUGAGACAUGGCGUCAGUCUCAAUUUCGAUAGUCAGUGUAAGACCAUGUCUGGGACAUGGCAUCGACUUGAUGAAUGAGCCAGUGUAAGGCCAUGUCUGGGACAUGGCAUUGGCAUCUUAUCUCAUGUUUGAGGCUUAAUGAAUAUCCGAUAGCAUUCCAAAUGGUUCAACGGUGAGAGUUAUAGUUUAAGUUAAACGAGAAAAGUAUAACCAUGUUGUGAGUGGUACAGGUACCUAUCUGAAAUGUAUGAGAUGUGAGCUUAGUAUAUGCUAUGUGAAUCGUAUUGGAUAGUGAUGAGUGACUUGUGCUUAUGCCUACUUUUGUAUUAAGAGCAUGAUGAUGAAUGGUAAAGUUGUUGUUAUAUUUAUUUUCAUGCAACUUAUUAAGCUUUAUGCUUACCCCGUUUCUUUCCAUUUUCUUAUAAUGCCGCCUAAUUAGCUCGUGGAUCAAUGAUCGUCGGAGGUAUUGAUUACACUAUCAAUCGAAGCGCUUGGUAUAGUUAGAUCUCUUUAUUUUGAUUAUGGCAUGUAUAGGGCUCUUUGAUUUUGUUUUGAUGUCACAUUGUUUUGGCCAAAUGUGUUGGCUUACUUUAGCAUUUUGAUUCAUUUUGUCCACAGAAAUUGAUAAAGUUGAAAGUUGUUAUAUGAAUACAAGAAGUUAUUUCAUGAAUGGGUAAUUUGUUGGUUCUUUUAGUAAAUAUGAAAUGUGUAAAGGCCUUAGAUGUGGUUGUUGGACUGAGGAAUCAUAUUAUGAUGAUUUUUAGCAUGAUGGAUGUUGUUAUGUUGUGUUUCAGGGUGGCAAAGGGCUUGGUAGAUAGCCCUAUAUUGUCCACACGGGUAGACACACUGGUGUGUGUCUAGACCGUGUGUGACACAUGACCAGUCCCACGGGCGUGUUGUCCGGCCGUGUGUCCCCUGCACGUAAAAAUUUCAAGUCAGAAUGCAUGGUAGUAAACACACGGGCAGAGACACGGCUGUGUGUCUCAGCCAUGUAGAGGACACGGCCUUUGGCCACUGGCAUGUGCCUCAGCCGUGUGUCUUAAAUUGGAUGCUGACGCUAGAAACAGAAUGUCAAGGUUUUUAGAUACGGGCUAGGACACGGGUGUGUCAUGGCUGUGUAAGAGACACGAGACAUAGACACAGGCGUAUGUCAGGCCGUGUGAAAACCCUGUAGGUUUGAAUUUAGAAUUUAAUUCACACGGGUAUGGGACACGGGCGUGUCCCUAGAUGCUUAGGCUGUGUGUGUCACACGGGCCAUCAGCACAGCCAUGUUAUAAUGGCCACACGGGUGUGUUGCCCUUCCACACAGGCAUGUUGCCCUUCCACAUAGGUGUGUGCCUUGUUUCAAGAAUCAUUUUUAUUAAGUCGGUUCAAGGACCCGAGUUAGUUCUGAGUGGUUUCCAAUGAAUGUUUGAGGCCUCGUAGGCCCAUAUUAAGAAGAUUAAAUAAAGUUAAAAAAAGUUUUAAUUUAGAUUAAGUCUUGAUGACUCAGAAAUGAUCGUGUGCAUGUGUUAAAGUUUAAUAACGCCUCAUAUGCCGUCCCGGGGUAGGGCACGAGUGUAGAGUGUUACAUUUAGUGGUAUUAGAGCUAUGGUUUAGUAGGUUCUAGGACUAACCUAACAUAAGUACGAGUCUAGCUAUACAUGCCAUAGUUGUAUAUUGAUAGUGUGACGACUCCUGACGAUUAUAAAUUAUGUUUUUCAUAUAGUAAAUGGAUCCUGACGUAGCUACGGUAGAUGUCGUGAAAAGUAAUAUGCCAGCUUCCGCUGAAGGGACUGCACCUUAAUGUUUUGCAAGUUAGAGAGUUACACGAGCUUGGAACAUGGCCGUGUGACUUGUUUUAUAUACCACACUGCCUAGGACAUUGGUGUGUCACUUGGCUGUGUAAACCACACGACCUACCCACACGGGCGUGUGACCUCUGUAUGUGGGAAAAAAGUAAAAUUUUAUGAAAAAUUUCUAAGUUCCCGAUUUAGUUCCGAUUCAAUUCUAAUACUCGUAUUGGGCCUCGAGGGUCUAUGACAACAUGAUUAGUCUCGAUUAAAAAUAAUAAAUGACAAGAAUUAUGUUUAAUUAUUCUGUAAACUCAGAUAAAACUCUGUAACCCUGUUCUGGAAAUGGAUACGGGUUAGGGCUAUUACAAUGUGAGCUUUUUUGAGUAUCCGAUGAAAUUCUAGAUGGUUCAAUGGGUAAGAAAAAGGAAAUGAAAUGGUAAGUAUGCAAAUGGAAUGAAUCAUGUGUAUCAUGAACAAGUAUACUAACUUGUGAAUUUGGUGAUGUUGUGUAGGCUUUUAAUAAGCUUAUGGCAUUGAUGAUGAUUUAUGUUUAAUCUGUGAAUUGUAUAAAUGACAUGGUAAGUUAUAUUUUAGUUUAUACGAGUUUAUUAAGCACUCGUUUCUUACGUAGUUUCUUUACUUUGUUUUAUAGAUUAUUGGAAGCUUGACCAGUUGGAAGUUCGUCAAAGAUCUAUCACACUAUCCAACAGCUAAUUUGGUAGAUUUUGUGUAUUUUGGCCAAGGUUAAUAAUGGCAUGGAUAGGUUGUUUUGUAAUGGUGAUUUUGUAUGUUUAUGCUUUUAAGUCUAUGGUUGAUUCGGUACACUUUAAUGCUUUACCAAGUUAUGUCAAAUUGGUCACUUUUGAGUACUUGCAAAUAAGAUUCAUUUGGUAUGUUUAUGUUUUGAUGCUAUUGUGGUGCCUUUGAAUGACAUAUUGGUUAGGUGGUUUAGGAUGAUUGAAAUGACAUGUUUAUAUAUGUUUGAAUGGUUUUUAAACCCCUUGAAUGUGUGUCUAAAUGGUUUGAAUGAUUAGGUAUGAAUUGAACUUGUAAUGGCUUGAUUUUAGGUAAAUUUUGGAUUCACACGACCUGAGACACGGGAUGUCACAUGGCUUGGCAACACAGCCGUGUGUCAUUUGAAUUUUCUUAGUAUUUCAAGUCAGUGAGUUACACGGCCUAGCACACAGACAUGGGUGGCAACUCAGAGAGUUACACGGCCUGACACAUAGGCGUGCGGGGCAUCUCAGUGAGUUGGUGGGGACACGACCUUGCGUCCCUUGUUCGAAUGUUACACGACUUGGGGUGAUGUCACAAGGCUUGCCACAUGGCCAUGUACCCCUGUUUUCCAAUUUUUGCAACUUUUUCUUAAACUUCCUGUUUUGUUUCAAAUUAGUCUGAAAUUGCUUCUAAGCUAUUUUUAGGGUCUCGAAGGCUCGACUUAGGGACAAAAUGCAUGUGAAGGAAUGAUUUAUGAUAUGUUUAAGAUAUUUAAUGUUAUGAAGGUAAAUGUUUUUCGUUUGUACAGUAAUGCUCUAACCCUAAUUUGGCAAUAGAGACGAGUUUGAGGUGUUGCACUAGGGUUGUAUACAGACUUGAAUACUUGGAAUCAAACAUUUUAUGAGAGUUUUCUUCAUUUUACUAUUGAUCAAACAUUGUAUAUUGUUUUGAUAAACUUAAAACACUCUUGUAGUCUAGUAAAACCACAAGGAGCAUGGUGACAGGGUCAUGUAAGGAUGGUAUUAGACAAUAUUCUUCAACACCUAAGUCGCCAAAGAACAAGAAAAAUGCUCCUCUUGACUAGAGGUGCUCAUGGGCCUGUCUAGGCUGGGCUCAACUAAAAAUUUAGGCCCAUUUACUAGCUCGGACCUGGCCUGGCCUAAAAAGUGGGCAUAAAAUUUUACCUAAGCCCAACCCAGAUAAAAAUGCUAAAACUCGGGCCUGACACGGCCCAUCUAUAUUAAUUUUUAUAUUAUUUUUAUAUAAUUUUUAAAUAUAUAUAAUAUAUCAAAAAUACGAAAAACAUCAAAACAAAUAUUUCUUAACAAAUUAAAAAUAAAUUUUAAAAAAUAUGUAGACUUAAAUAACACUAAGACAAAUACAAUUUAACAAGCAAAUGCCUCUAAAAUAUUAAAAAAAUUAACAAAUGCCUUUAAAAUAAUAAUAAAAUUAACAAUAAAAUAAGUUUUAUACAAUAUCCAAACAAUAACAAUAAAAUAGUAGCAACAUAAUAAUAAAAUAGUAGCAAAAUAGGGAGAAAACAAUAAGAAAAUAACAUUCAAAAAUAAGAAAAAAAAUGAGCAAAUUUUUUUAUCUUUUAGUGAAUUCGGGUCAGGCUGGGCUGGGGCUGGGCCCGGACAAAAAUACCUUACCCAAAUCCCGGCCCAUUUUUUAAACGGGCCAUAUUUUUGGUCCAAGCCUAUUUUUCAGGCCUAUAUUUUUGCCUAAACCCUCCCACAUUUUGGCAAGGCCUUCAGGCUGGGCCAGAUGGCCCGACCCAUGAUCAGGUCUACUCUUGACCAUUUGGGAACAUAAAAAUCAAUUGUAGGAAACAUGAGUAAAUCAUCGAAGAAGUAGUUGCCAAGGGUGAAUGUAUUUUGUCACAUUCUGAGAUGUUAUUUUGUCACAUUUUGAGCGUACAACCUUCUAGUUUUGGAAUAAACCAAGGGUGAAUGUAUUUUGUUGUAUUAAUAACAAAGAUGUUGGUUUUUUUGUGAUUGAUGUAGCUAGGUAUAGGUCACUUACAGUAGUAUGUUAUAUUUGUUACAUCAAACUUGUUUUAGGCUAGUAUAGCAUGAAUGGUGUAUAGGCUAAAUCAUUACCUAUGAAAAGCUUUUGUAAAGUACAUUUAUCCUAACUGCAAUGGGGAAAUCAUAUGAUUAAAUGGGGGACAUUUUUCAGUCUUAUGUUUCUUUUCACUACAUUAUUUACUAAGCUAAAUUAAAUUACAUAAACAACAACCAAAAUUGGUCAUUAGUUCCGAGAAUAAUGAAUAUCAAGGUUCCAAAUUACAUAAACAACAUAACAUGAAGGUAUGUUGGAAAAUUUUACAUUCAAUCAAUGUUUCCAACUGUUAGUUGCAUAUGCAUUUUACCACUAUUGCCAACAAAGAAACCUAAGGUGACAACUUUCAUUUUUUCCUUCAUGGUCAUCAUUGACUUCUCCUUAUACAUAACAUCAAGCAAGAAAAUAAUAUCUUAUACAUUGACUUCUCAUUCUUGAUAACUUUCAUUUUUUCCUUCAUGGCCAUCAUUUUGUUCCUUAAUGCUAGAUCUCCUUCAACACCACAAACUUGUCUACCUCCUUCAACCUCAGUGUCAAUAGCACUACUGCCAUCAUUAUGGCUACCAUCAAAUGCAAUCAAAUCCAUAACCUUCUUUAUAAGUGUUGAGUUCUCCUUUGAAAGAUUUCAUUCACUAUCACACAAUUGAUGUAGUUAUUUAGUCACACGGUCACACAUUUUCCCAUCGUACCAUUUGAAGAAAUCAAAACCACAACCCUACAAACAAACCCUAUAUGAGUGACAACAACAAAAUUUAAAUCAUAAACCCUCAACCUAGGGAAAUUUUUGAAAUCAUCCAAAUUGAGCUAAAGUAGCAAAUAAAAUUAUUCUUCACUUACCCAAAAAUCUGAACAGCCGUAAAAUCUCCUCCUCGAAUUUAAAUCACUCCAUGAAGUGCCUCUUGGAGCUAACUUUUUGCAAUGACAUUUUACUGCUCCCCAUCGUACACAUACUCUCUCCGUGAUGAAGUAACAAUAUUUGCAUACCUCGAUUUCUUCCUCGAACCAUUCGAACCAUACGAUACCCAUUCUCUAAGUUGGCUAUUCAAACUAUGUGAUUUAGAUGUGAGAAUUUCCUGAAUCCAUGAUUUUAGACGGCAAGGAAGAAAAAUAACAAUUUCUUAGAGUUUAUGGCAUUUCAUGAUUAGGGGAUAAGGGAUUUGGGAUUUUAUGAUUUGGGAAUAAGGGAUUAAAGAUGUAGAAAAUUUCCUCAAUUCAUGAUUCAAAUUAGAGAUUGUUGAAGUUUUUAGAGAUUUUACGAUUUGGGAAGUAUAGUUUUUUAGGACGAUUUGGGAUUUCAUGAUUUGGGGUUAUUUUUUUCUAGAUUAUUUGUCUUUAAUUUUAUAUUUAAUUAUUUUUUGACACUUCAUCUUCAACCUGGCACGCCACGUAGACAACUUUGUUGAUCGACACUUGAUUAACGGUCAACUAAUGUUUCUCGUUAAAAUUGGGCUAAAUUGUGGAAAAAUCGUUACGUUGAAGGCCACAAUAAAAAAAGGUCAAUGGCACAAAACCAAAAACCCCUAAACAUUGAGGGUUUUUUUUGUAAUUAUGCCAAAAUAUUUCAAAAGACCAAAAUCCUUCAAAUGGAAACAAGAACUGGGGUACCGUUUAAAAGUUUUCAAAGUAGUGAAAGCGUUUCCAGAUUUAAUCAAAUUAUCAACAUAAACUAGCAUAUUAAUGUGUACAGAUCCCUUAGUGUAUGUAAAGAGAGAAUAAUCAGAAUAUGAUUGAAGAAAUCUGUACCUAUUCAGUGCAUUAACCAACUUAGCAAACUAACACCGAUGAGCCUAUGUUAACCCAUACAAAGACUUGUACAAACGACAGACCAGUGCAGGCUUAUCAGGGGUAAAACUCAGAAGAAGCUUCAUGUAAACCUCUUCAUCAAGAUCAUCAUGUAGAAAGACAUUAUGUACAUCCAUCUGAUGUAACUCAUAAUUUUUUGAAGCUGCAAAAGUUAAGAAAACAAGAACAGUUACCAUUUUCGCUACAAGAGCAAAAGUUUCAUGACAGUCAAUACCAUCUACUUGGUGAUUACCAAAAAAUGACAAAAUGAGCUUUAAGUAUCUAAAUAAUUUUAUCGAAGUUAUAUUUAAUAUUGUACACCCAUUUUCUGCCCAGAGCUUUCUUUCUGGUAGGAAGUGUCACCAUAGACCAAGUGCCAUUAUCCUCCAGAGCACAAAUCUCUUUUUGCAUAGUAUAAUGCCAUCCUACUUCUUUCACAGGCUCUUUAAAAGAUUGUGGCUUGAUCCAUGCAGUAAUAGUUGUAAGAAAAUUUCGGUGUUUCACAGUAAAUUUUUCACAAUCAACAUAAUGCGCUAUAGGAAAUGGAGUACCUAAGGAAGGCUCUGAAGCAGGUGAGGCAGGAGAUGGACUUUUCUUUAUGGCGGUAUAAGUGACAAAAUCCCGAAGCUUCACCGAGGGAAAUUUCUCAUUAUGCCUUCGUCCCAAUUUGGGCACAUCAUUACCCAAAGCCACUUGUACCACCAUGUCAAUGAAGGAAGAAGAAUACACCACAUGUGGUGAAGAAUCCGCAGGUGGCAAACUUUUAGGUUACGAAGUGACAAGCGAAGGAAUUGUCGUGGCCUACGACACCUUUGACUGACCAAAAUAUGUAUAAAAAAUUACGUUUGCACUUUCAUAUGACAUAGAAACAUUGUUGGGCUCAAUGGUUGCAAUAUUCCCAUCAAAAUACGAAAAAAAUAUCCUAAAAGAAUCUCACAUCAUGGGACGCAAAAAACUUCUUUGAAUCGAUAUCAUAUAAAUACCAACUCUUUUGCCAAAAGGACACCUAACAAAACACACUUUCAAAUUAGAUUAAGAAACUUAUCAUCCUUAGAACGUUGAUUAUAAGCAAAACAUAAGUAACCAAACACACGAAGAUUAUCAGACAAAGGAGGUUUACCAAACAAAAUUUCAUAGGGUGUUUUACCACGAAAAAGAGGUGAAGGAGUUUGAUUGAUAAGAUGAGAAGCAACCAAAACACACUCCUCAAAAAAGAUAUAGGCAAAUUUCCUUGGAAAAGCAAAGCAUGAGCCACAUUGAAAAUAUGUUGAUGUUUCCUCUCAAAUCCCACCACAAGAUAUUUGAAAAAUAAUUUCAUUUGUAAAAAAAAAAAUCCUAGAGACAAUUAAAUUCCAUCACAUUAUCACUUCUAACAAACUUUAUCUAUUGAGAAAAUUGAUGAUCAAUCAUAUUAAUAAAUGAUAUAAAAAUCUUGAAAACCUUCUUCUUAGCCAAUAGAUAUACCCAAACAACAUGGGAGAAACCAUCAACCAAUGUCAAAAAAUAAUGAUAUCCACAACAUGAAGAAGUGUCAUAAAAACCCCAUAAAUCACAAUGAACUAACUCAAAAGUACGAGUGAUUUUAUGUUCACUAAUUGGAAAGCUAUUUCUAGUUUUCUUAGCAUGAUGACAAAUUUCACAUGCUUUAUUCAAAUGAUCUCUAGAGUUACUAUCAUAGGAAGUAAUUUCACUACUUUCUCAGAAGGUGACCUAAUUUUUUAUGCCAAAGUUUUAAAGAGGAUGAAGCUUUAUUCGAAACUACUUUGAUCAUCGAUACUUGUUAGAAGUAGUAAAGUUCAUCCCGUCUCUCACCCACUCCACUCAGCUCCUUCAAAUAAAGGUCCCUAAUAACAUGUAUGUUAGUAGAAAAUGGACAAAACAAAUCAUAUCAUCAUUCAACUGUGAAACUGAAAUUAAAUUGCAGUUUAAUUUAGGAACGUAAAGAACAUGUUUUAAGUGAAUUUUUUCUGUCAAUUUAACCAUUCCUUCUUGGGUAGCCACCACUGUUUGGCCAUUAAGAAGUCCUCCGGAACAUGCUACAACUUCUCUAACAUUUGUCAAACACAUAAAAUCACCUGUAAUAUGAUUUGAACACCUCAUGUCGAUAAUCCGAUUAUUCUUGGACUUAUCAUUCAACCGAUUGGUAGUAGAUUAUGUAUUACCAAACACUGCCAAAAAAGACUACCAUUGCCUAGCUGUAAAACUAGGAAGUUGUGGUGGUGAUAGUGGUGGAGGAGAAGUAGAAUUGCCGUCAGCCAUUGAGAAAAAAAAAUUGUGUUAAACAACUGGCUAAGAUGUCAUGAUAAGAAUAGGGUAAUCCCUUUCAAUCUUAUUGACAAACCUCUAGAGUAUACAUAAUAUUUAUAAGAAAGAUAUAUAAUAUAUUCUUAAAUAUAUGCCUAAAAGAUAUACAAUAUAUUUAGAUAUUCUUAAAAGAUAAUAUCCCAUAAUAUUUCAUAAUAAUAUAUUCCUAAAAGAUAUCUCAUAAUAAUAUCCUUAAAAUGACGUGGUAAAAGAAAUUCUCAAAAUCCUUGUCAUCAAGGUAAUAACCAUGGUGAUUUAAUGGAAACACACUAAAAACACAAAAAUGAUAAAGUUAAGUGAUUAUGUUGUUACUUUUUAAAAUCAAGUGACUUAAUAAGGAACUUCACAAUAAUAAUUAGGUGACCAUUUAUGUAGUUUACCCAUUUAUUAGAAUUCUUUUAAUAUUUUAAGUAAAAUUUUAUUUAUGAGUUACUUAAUUUCUUACAGAAAUUUUAAUGUUUCAAGUAAUGUUUCAUGUAAUUUUCAUGAUUAUAGCUAUAUAAUCCAAGUAGUUGGUUUAUUAACACAGUGAUCGGUUUGCUUCCGAUAGAUAUGGCUAAACCGGACUUUCUAAGACCUGCUUUUCAACUUGUUUAUCCUUCUGAUCACACUGCUACAACAGUCUUUUGAAGACAGAACCCACAAUAAACUAUCACAUUCCUCCAUUCCCUGUCUAAACCCAACUUCCCAACCUAUCAAUAUUCCAUCUAUUAUCCCCACAUCUCAGCUUUUAAAACCAUGCAAAAUCUGCAUUUGAAACUCAUUUUUACCGACAAAUGUUAGGUACAACCAUUAAGAGAAUUAAAUUUGAAUUUUGAAUAGAAUAUUAUUAAAAGAGAUAAUAAAAAAUGUACAACCCAUCUUAACUUUUGACAUGGGGUAUAUUGCAUGUGACACAUAUGCUUACAUGCAUUGUCAUCUUUUAAUCUAUGCCUUUUCUUUCUUGCAUGCAAGCAGGACCCUUUUUUUUUUUUUUUUGGUUUUCCUGUUAAGAUAUUCGAGGCUUUAAUUUAAGCUUCGGACAUAUAUUAUGGUGUACUACCAUUCUUUCCAAACAAGAUGAGGAUAUUAGUGAAUAGCUCACAAAACCAACUUGACCUUUCAUUUAAUUUUCUGCAAAACCCAUUGAGGCAUCAUAAAUUUGUUCAAAUGCAAGAUCUCUUCAAUUGAGAGAAUUUUAGCAAUUGGGAAUCCAAAUUAUCUCUUUAAAAGUUUUGGGAUUUAAAUUUAAAGAUUUCUGGAGAAUUUAGCUACCCCAGAACCUUAGUGAAGGCUAAUACAUAUAUAGGUAAAUUUUCAAGGAGCGGUGAGAAGUAAAUUAUAAAUAUUUGAAGAAAUCACAAUGCAGUACUAACUUAUAAUCUUAUGAAUUUUUGGAGGAAUUCCCAAUUUUCGGCCCGAGAUAUGGGCUUUCCAGUAAGAAGAUGUAAUCCCUGACUAAUAUCUUUAUUUUCUUGAGAAAGAAUAACUUAGAUAUUAUUGUGACCUUUAAAGUACACCGUCCUUUAUGUCAAACAUUUUUUAAAAUGGAGUUGAAUCAUGCAUGCAAAAACAUUCGAUUACCAUUAUUCAUGAUCCUCUAAGGACAAAUGCUUAAAACCAUAAAUUAUUCCAGAUCAAGCGAUGUUUUGUUUCUCAAGUAAAAGAGGAGGAAUGUUUUCAUAUUAAAAAAAAUAUUUUGAUAAUCCUUCGUAAUUUUGUAAAAUGAGUUAUAUGAUUUUUCAAACUACAAUUGAAUAAUUUAUAUAAAUAGAUAGAAAUAUAGGCUUAUAAUAGAAGUUGUACAAAAAAUAAUUCUUUGUGGCAUAAUAUGUUUAUUUGUGGCUAGUCAAUAGUAUAAUUAUUUGUUCAAAAAUCUACUGUAUCAUAGCUAAUCAACCAUAUAAAUAUAUAUGUGUGUGGAUUAGCUACUCAAUCACAUUAAAUUAGGGUCUAUCUCUUUAGGUGCACAGGCACCAAUAUAGUAUAGCAAACAUCACCUUAACACAAUUGAUCUCUCAUGGUCAAGUAAAGGUUCCUUUUUCAUCAAGUUUAUACAAGUCCUUUUAGUUCUUCAUGAUGUGUAGCAUUACUAUUACACACACAGAGGGUAAGGGACAAGUUGUUCCUUGCAACCCGAGUCCCUUGUCACUAAGACAGUUUUGGAGAAUCCUUCAGAUUAAAUGCUUCAAAAGCCAAUAGCCACUAAAAAAGAAGGUAUACAAAUCUUACUUUCAAAAAAGCAUGUAAAGCUCUAAAAUGGUACAGAGUGUUAAAAGGUGGUAACAAACAACAGUAUGUAUGUUACCCGUAUGAAAUACAGUAGCAUACAAAUGUACCAUAUGUUGUCCAGAUGAAGUACGUCUUUUGUAACAACUGACCUGUAUUUGAUUUGACAGCUACUUUUUGAAGGAUAAAGUAAAUCUGUACUUAGCAGAUUUAGACAGGUCCUAGGAUAUUAUUCAACCAUUUUUAGCAUGUUCUUUUUAAUCAAAUUUAUUACUCUUUCAAUGUAAUAGUUUAAUAUAUGUACAUUUUCUUUAACAAAAUUAUGAAUGAGAGAAGUCAACUUUGUUUCUCCUUCAACAUCUGUUUUGCUUUUGUUUUCAUCUUUCAACACAAAUUUUAUUUCUUUUGUUCUUAUUUUGUGAUUAAAAACUCAACAAAUGGUAUUAGAGCCCUAAGUCUGUAAGGGCCUUGGUUGUACUUUGUUUGUAAGUAACUCGUGUUUGAAAGAAAAGAAGCAGAAGCUAUUUUUUGUUGUUGGUUUGUUUAGUUGCUGCAAAGAUGAGCUUUACACCAUCACCACCACCUGUGUUUGCUGGAGAGAACUACCACAUUUGGGUAGUAAAGAUGAAAAUUUACCUUUAAGCACAUGAUUUGUGAAAUGUGGUUGAGAAUGAUGCUGAACCACCUCCAUUGAGGGCCAAUUCAACCAUUGCAGAGAUGAAGCAACACAGUGGAGAGUGUGCCAAAAAGCAUAAAGCAAUGGCUUGCUUGUAGAAUGGGGUAUCCGAUGUAAUUUUUACUAGGAUAAUGGCUUGCGAAUCACCAAAGCAAGUAUGAGAGAAGCAAAAGAAGGAGUUUAUGGGGUCAGACAAGACAAGGCCACAUCAACUGAUCAAUAUCAGGAGAGAAUUUGAGAACCUGAAGAUGAAAGAGUCAGAGACAUCAAACAGUACUCUGAUAGGAUAAUGGCCAUAGUCAACAACAUUAGGCUCCUUAGUGAUGAUUUCAGUGAGAGCAAAGUUGUUGAAAAAGUCAUUACAACUCUGCCUGUGAAAUUUGAGUCAAAGAUCUCUUCAUUAGAGGACUCGAGGGACUUAUCAGCCAUCUCAUUGUCUGAGUUGGUAAAUUCCCUAUAUGCACUUGAGCAGAGGAGAGCCAAUAGGCAGGAAGAGCAUCCUGAAUGAGCUUUUCAAGCAAUGGCCAAUGAAGCCUCAAGUUUUAGCCAAAAAAGGAAGAAACCUUGGAGUGAUAGAAGGGAGAAACCAAAGAGAGAUGUAGGGAAGAAAAGGUUUCCACCAUGCAUUCACUGUAAGAAGAACACACAUUUGGAAAAGAACUGCUGGUACAGGCCAGAUGUUUAGUGCAAGAGUUGUAAAUAGUUUGGCUAUGUUGAGAAGGUGUGCAAAAACAAAUAGAAGGCACAAUCUCAGUAGAACAACCAAGCUCAAGCCGCUGAUGACCUUCAAGCUCAAGAGGAGCAUGUUUUUACAACCUCCUGUUUUGCAACCUCAAGCAAGGUCAAAUGUGACUGGCUAGUGGAUAGUGGCUGCACAUACCAUAUGGUAGCUAAUGAAAGGCUGUUGAAGGAUCUUAAUAGAAGCUUUGCCUCAAAUAUCAGAAUUGGCAAUGGGAACCUGUUGAAGCCAAAGGCAGGGGCAAUGUGGUGAUCAAUACAUAGUCAGGUAAUAAAGUGAUUUCUAAUGUGCUUUUUGUGCCUGACAUAGAUCAAAAUCUACUUAGUGUUGGUCAGCUUGUAGAAAAAGGUUAUUCACUUUCUUUUAAGAAUGGCUCUUGCAUUGUUGAAGAUUCUUAUGGUCAGGAGUUGGUCACAGGAGCAAUGGCUGAUAGGUGUUUUAUGCUUGAUGUCAAUUAACUUGCGAAGAAGGCUUACACCAGCCUAUAGAACAUGAGCCCAUUUUAUGAUAUAUGAUGUGUACUGGAUAUUGAUGAGUAAGUUUUUGCUUAUACUCAAUUGUAUGUUAUGAGCUUGUUGGUGAAUGGUAAAGUUAUGUUGUAUAUUUAUUUAUGUGCAACUUACUAAGCUUUAUGAUUUCUCCCUCUCCUUUUCCAUUUUCUUAUAGUGCCGCCUAUCUAGCUCAAGGAUCAACGGAAGUCAGAUAUAUCGAUCACACUAUCAAUCGAAGUAUUUGCUACAAUUUGAUUUAUAUUUUUGAAUAUGGCAUGUAUGGGGAAUUAGGCUUGUGUUUUGGGUUACUAUUAAUUUGGCCAAAUGUGUUGGUUUGGGAUAAACCCCUCAUUUUGUAUUAAGCCUUGAAUGGUGGCUAGCAUUCACUUUGAUUUAUAUACAAAGAUGUUAUUUUUAUAAAUGAGUAAAAUGUACACAUGGAAUGUUAUUUAUUGUGGCUGAUUUGGUUGCAUGAGAUAGCCUUGUAUUGGUUUUGGUUGCUAAUGUGUAGGUUGUGUAAGUAAGGGUGGCAAAGAGGCUUGGUAAAUAUCCUUAUAUUGUCCACAUGAGUAGACACACGGGCGUCUGUCUAGGCCGUUUGUAACACACGGUCUGCCCUAUGGACAUGUGGUCCAGCCGCGUGUCCUCUGUACGUAAAAUUUUUAAGUAAGUAUGUAUUGUAGUAAACACACAGGCAGAGACACAACCGUGUGUCUCAGCCGUUUGAAGGACACAGCCUAGUACACGGGCGUGUGCCUUGGUCAUUUGACAUUUUGGGGUUGCUGAUGUCAGAAACAGAAUGUCUAGGUUUUUGUACACGGGCUAGGAUACAGCCGUGUUAUGGCUGUGUGAAGGACACGGGCCAGGGUCAUGGGCGUGUGUCAGGCCGUGUGAAAACCUAUGUAGGUGUGCUUUUAAAAUUAAUUGCACGCGGGUGGACAACACGGGUGUGUCCCUGUAUUGUUUAGGCCGUGUGAGCCACACGGGCCAUCAACACGACCAUUUGAAAUGGCCACAUGGGCGUAUUUUCCUUCUACACUGGCGUGUACCUUGUUUCAAAGUCAAUUUUUUCUAUAGAUGAUUUAAGGACCCGGAUUGAUCCAAAUAGUUUUCAAUGGUUGAUUUGGGGCUCUUAGGCCCAUAAUAAGAAGUUUAAAGCAGAAAUUGAAAAAGUUUUAAAUUAGACCAAGUCUUGGCAACUUGGGGAAUGUUUGUGUGCAUAAGAUCGAGUUUGGUAAUGCCUCGUAUUUCACUUCGAUGUGGGUUAUGGGUAUGGGGUGUUACAUUUAGUGGUAUCAGAGCUAUGGUUUAGUCAGUUUUAGGACUAAUCUAGCUAGAGUACGGGUCUAGCUAUACAUUCCAUAACUGUAUAUUGAUAGUGUGACGACUUCUGAUGAUUAUAAAUUGUGUUUUUAUAUAGUAAAUGGAUCCUGAUAGAGCCACGGAAGAUGACGUGGAGAGUAACGCGCUAGCUCCCGCCUAAGAGACCACUCCAGUUGAGAGUGAGCCCGUGACUAUGGGCUAAGACGGAGGGGCUAGAGAAGCCUAUCUCCGAAUGAUGGAAACUUGGUACAUGGAGUUCAUUCGUGCAAAUCCAAACACUCCACCUACCCCACCUCCUCUAAUCCCUCAGUAUGCCCCAGUAGUUCCACAAGGCGCGGACAUGAUUAGGAGGGAGAAACCUGCAGUGGAUAAGAUUCGAAAACAAAAGGCCAAGGAAUUUUGGGCUAGUAUAGAUGAUGACCCAGAAAGGGCAGAAUUUUGGUUGGAGGAUACCAUUAGGGUAUUCGAUGAACUAUCGUGCACACCUAAAGAGUGCGUGAAGUGUGCAGUGUCACUCCUAUGGGAUUCGACUUAUCAGUGGUGGAAUACUCUCGUCUCCAUUGUACCGAGAGAGAGGAUCACUUGGAAAUUCUUUCAGGAAGAAUUCUAGAAAAAGUAUAUUAGCCAUAGGUUUAUAGAUCAAAAGAGGAAGGAAUUUCUAGAGCUGAAGCAAGGCCAAAUGUCGGUGAUGGGAUAUGAACGUGAAUUGUGAGGCUCAGUAAGUAUGCGCGGGAGUGCGGGUCUACAGAAGCCACUAUGUGUAAGAGGUUCGAAGAUGGUCUUAAUGAAGAUAUCCGAGUAUUUUUUGGCAUCCUGAAACUAAGAGAAUUUGUAGUGCUCGUUGAGAGAGCAUGAAAGGUAGAGGAGCUGGCAAAAGAGAGGAGGAAAAUGACUUUUGAGUCGCGGGAUUCAAGAAAAAGACAGAUGGGGAAAUCGCAUUAGUCCUCAUCUAAGAAAUCUAAGGAAUUCUCUACCCAAUCGAAUGCUUUGGUGGGGUUCUCGAACAGGAACAAGAACCAGUAGAACACGACCUCUAAAGCCCAGGCCACUUUUAUCGCGAGUGUCGGCAGUGCUCGUCCAAAUAGGCCAGAAUGUUCACAAUGUGGUAGAUGCCAUUUUGGCUAGUGCCGAGGUAAAGAAAGAUGGUGCUUCAAAUGUGAGUCACUGGACCAUUUCAUCUGAGACUGUCCUGAAAUUGAAGAGAGAGAGAAAAAGCAAGAAGUGAAGGCAAGUAGUGCUCCAUUGAUGGGUAGACCAAAAAAAACCUCAGAAGUGGGGCUGUUAGCAGAGGUGCGCUAAGAGAUACUACAGUAAGGUCCGAGGAUAGAGCGCCUACAAGGACUUACGCUAUUCGUGCCCGUCAAGAGGCAGAGUCUCCUGGCGUGAUCACGAGUACCUUUUCUAUUCAUGAAAUAUCUGUUGUUGCUUUAAUUGAUCCGGGGUCUACCCACUCUUAUAUUUGUAUGGAAUUGAAACCUCGUAUGAACAUGAUGGUAGAGUCUACUGAGUUUGCGAUAAAGGUGUCUAACCCUUUAAGCAGACAUGUACUAGUGGACCAAGUAUGUAGAAAUUGUCCAUUGACAAUUAGAGAUCAUUGUUUUUCAGCUAACUUGAUAUUAUUUCCGUUUAAUGAAUUUGAUGUAAUCCUUAGGAUGGAUUGGUUAACUUUUCAUCAUGUUGUAGUGGACUGUGGGAGAAAAGUUAUGGAGUUGAAAUGUGAAGACGGGAAUGUUCUUAGAGUUGGGCCAGAUGAAUAUGAUAGUUUGCAUGUAAUAGUAUCGUCUUUGACUGCUAAGAAAUAUUUGAGAAAAUGAUAUGAGGCUUACCUAGCUUUUAUACUGAAUACUCAAGUGUCUGAGUUGAUGAUUGAACCGGUACCAGUGGUUUGUGAGUUUAUAGAUGUAUUUCUAGAGGAAUUACUCAGAUUACCUCAAGUGAGGGAGGUUGAGUUUGGAAUCGAGUUGGUCCCCGGUACGGCACCCAUCUCGAUUGCUCCGUAUAGGAUGGUUCCUACGGAGUUAAAGGAGUUGAAAGUUCAACUACAAGAGUUAACUGACAAGGGCUUUACGAGACCGAGCUUUUCCCCGUGGGGUGCUCCGGUGCUCUUUGUGAAAAAGAAAGAUGGGUCGAUGAGGUUAUGCAUCGACUAUAGACAGCUCAAUAAGGUAACAGUAAAGAACAAGUAUCCUUUGCCAAGGAUCGAUGACCUAUUUGAUCAGUUAAAUGGAGCCACUGUAUUUUCCAAGAUUGACCUGAGGUUAGGAUACUACUAGUUAAGGGUGAAAGAACAAGAUGUACCGAAAACUGUGUUUCGGACAAGAAACGGGCAUUAUGAGUUCCUCGUUAUACCCUAUGGUUUAACAAAUGCCCUGGCGGUGUUUAUGGAUUUGAUGAACCGUAUUUUUUUACCAUAUUUGGAUAAGUUCGUAGUGGUCUUUAUUGACGAUAUAUUGAUUUACUCGCAUGAUGAGUGUGAGCACGCAAAGCAUUUGAGGACUGUAUUACAGACCCUGAGAGACAAACAAUUGUACACCAAGUUCAGUAAGAGCGAAUUUUGGCUUAAGGAGGUUGGAUUUCUAGGACAUAUUGUGUCAGGUGAUGGGAAUAGAGUUGACCCAAAAUCUCGACUAUUGUUGAAUGGAAACCGUCGAAGAAUGUGACAGAGGUUCGAAGCUUUUUAGGUUUGGCUGUAUACUAUAGACAGUUUGUAAAUGGAUUCUCCAUGAUAGCUACUCUAAUGACAAGGCUACUACAAAAAGAUGCUAAGUUCGAAUGGAUAAAAAAGUGCCAACAGAGUUUCGAGAAAUUAAAGGCUUUGUUGACCGAAGCAUCAGUGUUAGUGCAAUCGGAGUCGGGCAAGGAAUUUGUGAUAUAUAGCGAUGCCUCCUUGAAUAGUUUGGGGUGCGUGCUCAUGCAAGAAGGUAAGGUCAUAGCUUACACUUCGAGACAACUGAAGCCUCAUGAGAAAAACUACCCGACACACAAUUUAGAGUUGGUCGCCAUUGUGUUUGCAUCAAAAUUUAGAGACACCAUUUGUAUGGCGAGAAAUGUCGAGUAUUUACCGAUCAUAAAAGUCUCAAGUAUUUGAUGACUCAGAAAGAGGUAAAUUUGUGGCAACGACGAUGGUUAGAGCUAAUAAAAGAUUAUGAGUUGAUUAUCGACUACCAUCCGGGAAAGGCAAAUGUAGUUGCCGACUCUUUGAGUAGAAAGUCAUUGUUUGCUUUAAGAGCCAUGAAUACUCAGUUGUCUAUGUCUAGCAAUGGUUCAGUCCUAGUAGAGUUGAGAGCUAGGCCGACAUUUUUACAAGAGAUCCGUGAAGCUCAAGAAGGUGAUAAGGAGUUGCAAGCUAAGAUGGCUCAGUGUGAGACAGAAAAUGAAUCCGAGUUUCAUAUUGGUGUUGAUGGAUGUUUAACGUUCAAAGAUAGAGUUUGUGUACCCAAGGGCAAUGAGCUUAUUCAGAGGAUUCUGAGAGAGGCACAUAGUGGUUGUUUGUCCGUCCACCCAAGCAGUGUAAAAAUGUACAACAACCUGAAGAAAAUGUAUUGGUGGUCGGGGAUGAAAAGAGAUAUUUCAGAGUUCAUUUGCAAGUGCCUUGUGUGUCAGCAAGUGCCUUGUGUGUCAACAAGUGAAGGCUGAACACCAAGUACCUUCGGGUCUACUUUAGCCUAUAAUGGUCGCUGAGUGGAAGUGGGAUCGGAUCACUAUGGAUUUUGUGACGGGUUUCUCGGUAACCCCGAAAAAAAUGAUACCAUUUGGGUUGUUGUGGAUAGGCUAAAUAAGUCAGCACAUCUUAUACGAGUGUGUACUGACUACUCCCUUGAUAGAUUGGCUGAAUUGUAUGUUUCUGAGAUUGUGAGACUACACGGGGUACCCUUGUUGAUUGUUUCAGAUAAGGACCCGAGAUUUACCUCGAGUUUUUGGAAAAAGUUACAAGAGGCAUUGGGAACAAAGUUGAGUUUUAGCAUGACAUUUCACCCGCAAACUGACGGCCAGUCGAAAAGAGUGAUUCAUAUUUUAGAAGACAUGUUGUGGUGUUGUGUUCUUGAAUUUCAAGGUAGUUAGGAAAGGUACUUGCCAUUGAUUGAAUUCGCCUACAACAAUAGUUAUCAGUCAAGUUUGAAGAUGGCGCCUUAUGAAGCUUUGUAUCGGCAAAAGUGUUGAACGCCCUUAUAUUGGACUAAGCUCAGAGAGAGUCAGAUUCAAGGGGUUGAUUUAAUAAAAGAGACUGAAGAGAAAGUUAAAGUGAUUCGUGGUUAUUUGAAGGCCACCUCGGAUAGACAGAAAUCCUAUGCAGAUUUAAAAUGUAAAGAGAUCGAAUUUCAAGUGGGUGAUCAAGUGUUUCUGAAAGUCUCCCUAUAGAGGAAAGUUCUUAGAUUUGGUAGAAAAGGCAAGUUGAGUCCUCGUUUCAUAGGACCUUCUGAGAUUACUGAAAGAAUAGGGUUGGUUGUCUAUCGAUUAGCUUUGACACCAAAAUUCGAAAAGAUUCACGACGUAUUUCAUGUGUCCAUGCUACACCGAUAUAGAUCAGACCCUUCGCAUGUGAUUACACCAACAAAGGUUGAGAUUCUUCCAGACAUGACUUAUGGAGAAGAGCCGAUUAAGAUAUUGGCUCAAGAAGUCAAACAGUUAAGAAAUAAGAGUAUUGUACUCAUGAAAGUUUUUUGGCAUAAACAUGGAGUCAAGGAAGCCACAUGGGAACUCGAGGAGGCUAUGAGAGAUCAGUAUCCGAACUUAUUCGCUGGUAAGAUUUUCGAGGACGAAAAUCCCUACAGGGAGAAUUGUAACAGCUCGAAUUUGGGGCUAGUUAGAAUAGUGGUCUUGGGACCACAAAUCCAGAGUUGAAUAAAUUAUUCCAUUAUUAUUUAGAUGUUAUAGUAUGUUUUUAAUAGUGCAUGAAAAAUUUGGUGUAGUAAUUUUGACGUUUGUGAGCCCAAUUGCGAAAAAGGACUAAAUCGCAUAAAGUGAAAAAGUCCUGAAUUGAUAGAUAAAUGUGUCAAAUAGCUAGGGAGUAAACAUUGGGGGCCUUUGAAGUGCAAUUAAACCCUUAAAAAUAGGGUGGUCGGCCAUAGGGGACAAUAAAUUGAAAAUUUUCAAGGUUAGGUAAUUGAAUUUGACUUUUUGACUAAAGUAGAAAUAACAUAAUCAAAGGAUGAUAUCAUCUCUUUCAUCUCUCCUUCAUCACCAAUUUUACCACCAAAAGUAGGGCUUUGAGAGCUUGAAAUUUCAGCUACUUAGUUUACUCACAAGUAAGUGAUUUUCAUACCCUUUAUUGAUGAUUUUUGCAUUUUUGAGACCCUUGAAGCUUAAGCUUUCAAAUGAGGGUACUAUUUUGAAAAAUGAUUAAGAGUUUAGGGUUUUUCCAUGAAAAUAUUUGUAAUUUUUUUGAGAGUUUAUGGAAGAAAAUGAGUCUUGGGUGUCUUAUAAAUAACUUUUGUGAAAGGUGUUAGUAUGGAAACACCUAAAAGGACUAUUUUGCAUAAAUUGUAAAAUAAAUGAUAAGUGUGUGAAAUAGUGGGAAUUUGGAGUUUCUAUAAGAGUAGAAAGGGUUCGGCUAGGCUUAAGGUGUGAAGAAAUUCGAUAAAAAUUGAUUUUCGAGCUUAAGGGUAAAAUGGUCAUUUUGCAAAAGUCUAGGGGCAAAUUGGUCAUUUUUCCCAAUUAUGAAUUGUAGAGUGCCUAGAUUGAUAAAGUGACUAAAUAAGUGCAUUUUUUAUUAUAGAUCAAGAAAUACCAAAUCCAAAUCUAAAUAGGGGGAAAGCUUGGCAAAUCGACUAAAUCAACUAGUCGCCACAUUUUGUAAUCCAAGGUAAAUUGUAUGCAAAUAAUACAACUACAAUGUUAAUGUAUAUGUUGAAUUGUACUUGAAUUUAAUAUAACAUGAAUUGCUUGAUUAUGGAAUUGAGAAAGCAUGAUGGUAAUAGAGAUAGUAGAUCUCCCGUUUGAACCUAGGAAAUAAAUCAGAUAUUCAUGCCAACAUAUGGGUUAUUGUGAGCUAGUGUAAGAUAUGUCUGGGACAUGCAUCGACCACAUUAUGAGAGCCAGUGUAAGACCAUUUUUGGGACAUGGCAUCGGCAUUGAGACGAGUGCUAGUGUGAAUCAUGUUUGGGACAUGCAUUGGCCUCGAGACGUAAGUCAGUGUAAGACUUGUCUGGGACAUGCAUCAUCUACGAGAUGUGUCAGUAUAAGACCAUGAUCUGGGACACGGCGUCGGCACAGAUAUGCUAGAGCUUGUGCAAGACCAUGUCUGGGACAUGGCAUCGGCACCUUACCCCAUGUUUGAGGCUUAAUGAAUAUAUAAUGGUAUUCCAAAUGGUUCAACGGUGAAAUUUAUGAUUACAUGUUAACAAGGAAAGUAUAAUUGUGUUGUGAGUGGUACAGGUACCUGUUUGGUAUAUAUAGAACAUGAGUCCAUUUUAUGAUAUACGAUGUGUACUGGAUAUUGAUGAGUAAGUUUUUGCUUAUGCCCAAUUGUAUGUUAUGAGCUUGUCGGUGAAUGGCAAAGUUAUGUUGUAUAUUCAUUUAUGUUCAACUUACUAAGCUUUAUGCUUACCUCCUCUCCUUUUCCAUUUACUUAUAGUGCCGCCUAUCUAGCUCAAGGAUCAACGGAAGUCAGAGAUAUCGAUCACAUUAUCAAUCGAAGUAUUUGGUACAGUUUGAUUUAUAUUUUUGAAUAUGGCAUAUAUAGGGAAUUAGGCUUUUGUUUUGGGCUACUAUUAAUUUGGCCAAAUGUGAUGGUUUGGGAUAAACCCCUCAUUUUGUAUUAAGCCUUCAAUGAUGGCUAACAUUCAUUUUGAUUUAUAUACAAAUAUGUUAUUUUCAUGAAUGAGUAAAAUACACACAUGGAAUGUUGUUUAUUGUGGAUGAUUUGGUUGCAUGAGAUAGCCUUGUAUUGGUUUUGGUUAUUAAUGUGUAGGUAGUGUACAUAAGGGUGGCAAAGAGGCUUGGUAAAUAGCCUUAUAUUGUCUACACGGGUAGACACACGGGCGUGUGUCUAAGCCAUGUGUGAUACACGGUCUGCCCUGUGGGUGUGUGGUCCGGCCAUGUAUCCUCUGUAUGUAAAAUUUUCAGGUUAAUAUACAUGGUAGUAAACACACGGGCAGAGACACGGUCGUGUGUCUCAACCGUGUGAAGGACACGGCCUAGUUCACAGGCAUGUACCUUGGCCAUGUGACAUUUUGGGGUUGCUGAUGUCAGAAACAGAAUGUCCAGGUUUUUGCACACAAGAUAGGAUACGGGCAUGUCAUGGCCGUGUGAAGGACACGGACCAGGGACAUGGGCGUGUUCCAAACAGUGUGAAAACCCCUGUAGGUGUGAAUUUAGAAUUAAUUCCACACGGGUGGAGGACAUAAGCGUGUCCCUGUAUUGCUUAGGCCGUGUGAGCCACAUGGGCCAUCAACAUGACCAUGUUGAAAUAGCCACACGGGCGUGUUUCCCUUCUACACAAGAGUGUGCCCUGUUUCAAGUCAAUUUUUUCUAUAGAUGGUUUAAGGACCCGGAUUGAUCCCAAAUAGUUUUCAAUGGUCGAUUUGGGGCUUGUAGGUCCAUAAUAAGAAGUUUAAAGUAGAAAUUGAAAAUUUUUUAAAGUGGACCAAGUCUUGGUAACUUGGGGAAUGUUUGUGUGGAUGAUAUCGAGUUUGAUAAUGCCUCGUAUUCUGCUCAGGCAUGGUUUACAGGUAUGGAGUGUUACAUCUAGAAAUUAUUUCUUUUUUUGAUCCAUGAAUCUCUGACUAACAUAUUUCUUUUUGAAUUCAACCCAGAAGAUUUCCCAUGUAACAUUCUCUCUCGGUACUACUGAAGUUAUGGAAUUUCACCAAUGAUAAGCUGUAUCUUUUAGUAGUGAUACUGCACAUUUCAAACAUUUAGCUGACGUACAAGAUAAUUCAUUAAAAACCCAGAUAGUGUUUUCUAGCCAAAACUCAACCUUUUCCAAAUCAUCUGCGGUAGCUCUAAAUUCUUCUGCCCCAUGCUUACGAAUUUUAUCUACCGAAGGCUUACCAGUUCUAAUAGGUUCAACACCCUGUUGUACCUCAGGAACCGGUUGUGGAGGAAGUGGCGGAGGUCUUGUACAGUAAGGUUUAUUCUCAAGUACUGUGUAAACCAUUCAUUCAUCAUUUGAAAGAAGGCCUAUUUCUCCUCCUCACUUCAACCCUCAGACACGGGCCUAUCACUACUAGGCGCAAACUUAACUCUUUGAACUGAGGCUGAAGCAUUUCACUCAGCUUCCUUAAAUUUAGCUCUAGCUCAGUUGGAUGACAUUACUAUAUGAAAACACAUUAAAAAUUAUUAGGAUUCAUCACACUAUCAUAAUAUAUAUAAUGGCAUGUAUAGCUAAACUCGUGUUUGCUACGCCAAAUUCGAUAAUCGGCUAAACCGUAGCUCUGAUACCACUAAAUGUAACUCCCCUAACUUGUAUUCGUUGUCAAAAUAGGGUUUCAAAGCAUUACCUAAACUUUCAGACCAUUUUACAAAUAAUUUAUGUAAAUUACUAUUCAUUUACUGAGAUUAUUCAAAACGUCCCUUAAUUGGGCCUUUAAGGUCCAAUAUGAGCAUUAGAAUUAAGUCGGAACUUAAUUGGAACCUCUAAGAAUUGUUCGCGAAAUUUCAAGAAUUUUCCAAGGUGCAGGGCUCACACACCCGUAUGACCCUGGGACACGUCCGUGCUGUAGGCUGUGAUCGACCCCGUGUAACUCUCUAACUUGUGCACACGGCCAUGCCACACACCCGUGCGCUAGGCCGUGUGGUUAAUUAAUUCAAUUCAAAAUUAGGUGCAGGUUUUACACAGCCAAGUCACACGCCCAAGUUCUAGGCCGUGUAGCACACAGGCUGAGACACACGCCCAUGUCUCUGCCCGUGUGCUCAAUUUUGAGCAUUCUGUUUCUCAAAAUUUUGGUGCAGGGGACACUCGGCUUAACUACACGCCCAUGUGUUCUGUCGUGUGUCAUACACAGUCUAGACACACGCCCGUGUGUCUACUCGUGUGGACAAAAUAAAGCUAUUUCUAGCUUCAUUUCUCACCCUAAAUCACACCCAUGACCUGUAGUUAAAACACACAUCCAAUGUAAUGACACGAAGUUUACGAGUAUCAAAAAAGUAUAUUUUCGGGUUACUGCUUUCGUAAAACGGAUUCGUAAAUAUUUAUUAGAAAUGUUUACGAAGUUAGUUGUGAGGUUAAUUAGAAUUGGGCUAGGUGAAUUAGCUUGAAUUAAGGUUAAUUUAGUGUAAUGACUAGAUUGAAUAAAGUGUGAAAGUUGAAUUAUAGAAUGAAGAAAAAUCAAGGGACUAAAUUAGCAAUUAAGCCAUGUGUGCCAGAUGUAUGGUAAAAAUUAAAUACAUGUGUAAUAAAUAUUAUACAUACAUUUGUAAUACAUGUAUGUAUUUACUUAUUAUUUAAGUUAAUAAUAACAAUUACUAAAAUAUAAUAUAAUAAUAUAAUAAAACAUAACAUAAAAUAAAUGAAAUAAAGAUAGAAAAAGAGAAAGUAAAGAGACAAAACAGAGAAGAACAAGGAAGAAAAAGAGAAAAGAAAGAAAAAAAAGAAAAUUAGGGUUUUAAGGUUUGAAGUUCAAGUGGUAAGUCAAUUUAGCCCAUUUUCUUGUAAUUUUAAUGUUUUUGGAAUCCUAGAACAAAAUAUUACUUUAUUUAUAUGGAAAAUUUGAAAGUUAGUUGAUUUUUAGAUGUGGGUUAUAUUGAAUUAAUUGAAGAAUUAAGGUUUGAAUUUAUAGAAUUUCAAGUUAGAAUUUCAAGUUAGAAUUGAGAAAAAGAUUAAAUUGCAAAACAAAUCAUAAGUUUUAUGUAGUAGGGACUAAAUUGAAAGAAUUUUGAAAUUAGGGUUUUAUAGUGAAAUUAGGGAGUUGAAAUUAGAGUAAAAUGGAAAUUGAAUUGAGAUAUGGAAUUAGUUUUGUAAGAAAAUAGUUAGUUUGAUUUAAGGAUUAAAUUGGAAUUAAAGCAAAAGUUGUAUAUAAAUUGAAAUAUUCAAUGUUAAAUUGUAGUGUAUUGAUAAAUUUUAAUUGUUUCGAUUUCCGUAGCUAACGUCAAGCUGGAGACGUUGACUAAGAAAGGAAAGGAAAAAGUCAACGAAGAUUACCUCGAAAAAUACGAUUUGUAUUUCUAUAAUCCAAAUUUAAUAAUUAUUUAAUGUAUUUAUUAACAAUUUGUAUGGUAAACAAAAAUUGAGGUAAGUGUUGAUAUUGUGGUAUUGAAUUGAAUUGUGAGUAUGUGUGAAUAUUUGAAUUGGAAUUGUGAAUUUGUAUGGAUUAUUGAAUUGAAAUGUGUAUUGAUUGAAAAUUGAAAGUGAAUUGAAUACCCUAUUAACAAUGUCGGGCUAAAUCAGAUAUAGUUGGCAUGCCAUAGGAUUGGAAGUGUUCAGGGAUACUUCGACUUCGAGUCGAUGAGGCACUAUGUGUCAUAUUAUUAUUGCUUCAGAUAAAUUCAAUGAGGUACUGAGGAUCAUAUUGUUUUACUUCGGCAUGGCCGAUGAGGCACUGAGUGCUGUAUUGGUAUGUUUGGGUUGGAUCCGCGUAUCCGUCGAAGUCUGAGUCGUGUUAAUAAGGAUAUAAGAAUGAAUUGAUCAAAUGAUUGACACUGAAUGAUAAUGAAUAAGAAAUGAAUACUGAUAUUUAAAUCGAAAUUGAGAAAUUUAUUGUGAAAUGCUAUUGAAUAGCAAUUGUGAGAUUGAAAUAGAAGAUAUGAUGAUUGAAAGUGAUAUGGAUGAUAAGUUUAAAAAAUUGAUUAUUUAUUGAAUGAUAUUAUUAUGUAUGAUUAUGUAUAUACAUAUUGUAAAUUUUUGCUUAAUAAGUAUUCGGAUUAUAGAAAUACCACUAAGUGUAUACUCAGCGUACGGUUUGUUUCCAUGUGUAGGAUAUGUUAAAGUUCAAUCGUUGAAUCAGCAUCCAUAGUCGAUCCUGAAAUCAAAGUGGUGAUGUACAUUUCUUUUGGCAAAUGGCAUGUACCUAGGAUGUUAUGUUAGUCAUUUUAAGAAAUGUUUGCAAUGAUGUUAUAAUAUGAAAUGGGUUGAAUAUAUAUAUAAGAAUAAAUGUGUUAUGUUUUAAGCAUUUAAGCGAUGUAUUUUGGUUGAAUUUAGCAAGAACUUAGAAAUAGCUUAAUUGGUAUAUAAAUAGAUUAUUUGAUUAGUAUGUGUAAAAUAACUAUAAACAUACUUUGGUUAGGUCUUUAAUUUGAUGAAUUUAACAUAUAUUAAAGAUAUUUGAAUAUGAUUUGGAUUGGUUGAAUAAUUAGAUUAUGAAUUGCUUGCUGUUCAAGUUUUGUAGGGUUGGUAAACUUGAUGUAAAAGGCCCAUUUUGAGUCCACAUGGCCUGGCACAUGGGCGUGUGACAAGACCGUGUGAGACACACGGCUUACACAUGGACGUGUGGUUAGGCCGUAUGUCCCCUGCACCUUAAAAAUUUAGAACAAAAUGCUUUGGAAAUUGCACACGGUUAGAGACAUAGGCGUGUGUCUCAACCGCAUGAGGUAUACAGCCUAGCACACGGAUGUGUGGCUUGGCUAUUUGAGGUAAGUCAGAGAGUUACACAGGGUAGGACACGGCUUGAAGCACGAGCAUGUCAUAAAGUCACACGGACAUGUCCCUAAACCAUACGAGCGUGUGAGUCCUGUACAUAGGAAAAAUUUUGGAAUUUCGUGAAAAAUGCUCUGAGUUUCUGAUUAAGUCCCGAUUCAUUUUAAAUAUUUAUAUUGGACCUCGAGGACCCAUAAAGGGACAAUAUGAUUAAUUUAUGACGAGUAGGCAAUUUAAUUUAUUUAAUGUUUGUAAUUGAUCUGAAUUGUCCGGUAAUGCUCAAUAACCCUGUUCCAGCGACGGAUAAGGGUUAGGGGGUGUUACAUUUAAUACCAACCAUUCCAAGCAUUCAAAUUAAACAAUCUUCAUCAUUCAGCAAGGCAUAUCUUUACAUGCAUAUGUGUUUAUAAACUUACCUUGGAUUAACUUGGGCAUUAACAUCACAUGAUCAUAUAUACUUAGCAUAACACAUAUGAAUAUAUCAUAAUAACCUACUUAAUCAUACCAAAAUAAGCCAUUACUAGUCAUUCCAAUGGCUAGGUUACAAAAUAUCAAUUUCAAGCCAUUAUUGGUCAAGUUGUCCUAUACAUGACAUUAUACCAAAAUCAUUUUACUAUAUAUAUACCCAAAAUAACUAGUUGAUAGUGUGACGAGGCCCCAGUGAUCUCCAACCUUCGCGAGCUUCUGAGCACUAUAAAAUAGGGAAAAAUAAAACGAAGUAAGCAUUACAUGCUUAGUAAGUUCGUAUAAUAGAAACUAAACUUACCAAUCCUGUUUAUUAAAUCUAAGCAUACAAUAACAAUUUUUCCAUCCAUUUGGAAAAAUUGCCUAAACACAUGCCUCCAAUCAAACAUGUUAGCCACAAAGUUUACAUAUACAUCAAGUAAGGAUAGAUGAGCUCAUCAUGUAA